rnacentral:lncRNA from 1 species
AUUGCAUUACCAAUUGCUGCCAUUUGGAACUGGGAGAAGAGGCUGCCCUGGCCUUUCUUUAGCCAUGCAAGAGUUGCCGACAACUCUAGCAGCUAUGAUUCAGUGCUUCAAUUUCAAAGUAACGAGUCCGGAUGGUGUGGUUGAUAUGUCUGAACGCCCACAAUUAUCAUCUCCAAGAGCACGAGAUCUUAUGUGUGUGCCAGUUGCACGUUGUCCUCGUAAUAUCCUAAAUUAAGAUGUAUGUUGAAAUUAAAGUGUCUUUAUAAAUGUUCAGCCCUUGUCUCUAUUUAAUGGGUAAACUUAUGUUACAUUUGAUGUAAGUAACAACAAUGACGUGACCAAUUGACUCACGUAAGAGCAGUACGUGGCGGUAAGGGACAAUAUUAAAAACAUGUUCAAGCCAGUUGGAAACCAGUUGCAAAAUGCGUGAACGGUAAAGUCAAUGUCUCAUUCCUUAGUGUAGCUGGUUAAAGAUUAGGUGCAUAUCAAUGAAAAAUUCAAAAAGAAAAAGAAAAUUUGAAAUUCAAAAAUUUUUGUGUGGCUUUCAAAAGUUUAGACUCCAUAAUCUCAUGCUCCGUUUAUUGAAGGAAGCAACAUCUCCCCUCUGAAACAUAAUCAGCAAAAUAUUCAUACAGUUUUAUAAUAAUGGACAAUUUAUUGAACAAAGGCUGAAAAAAGAAAAAGAACAAAUGGUUUUAGAGUUGUGUCUAUUACUACUACAUAGAAAAAUGACGGGGGAGUUGCAGUUUGAGAGGUUAGGAAGUGUUUUGAAAAUUUAUAAAUUGUUUCUUAAUUUGAUUUUUUUUUAUAGUAAUGAAAUGUUUGUAAUAUCAUUGAUUGGUUUGUUGAUUUGUAUUCUCAUUAUUUUAUCUUGCUUCAAAUUCUUAAAUAGGCCAUAUGCAUCAAGUAGGGGUGGGCGAUAGUCGGUUCAGUUCGGUUCAGGUCCCGAACCGAACCAAACCGAAAUCAAUCAGUUCCUAAGAGUAUGAACCGAACUCUAACCGAAUUUAAAAACCAAACCGAACCGAACCGAAAUAUUUCAGUUCGGUUCAUUUUUCUAAAAUCAGUUCAGUUCGGUUCGAUUCUUAAAUACCUAGGGUUAGGGAUUUGAGAGAGAAAUUCAUUUUUGGUUUAUAUAUAUUCAAUUAAAUAUAUUAUAAUCAAAUCAAACUGAACUGAUCGGUUUUUCAGUUCGGUUCGGUUUAAACCAGUUAGUUCGCCGGUUUUAGAACCAUUCGAUUUUUGCUCAUAGAACCAAACCGUUUGCCCACCCCUAGCAUCAAGUGUUCGAUAAAUCGUCUGAAUGGCAUUGACAAAUCAUUGUUGUCUAAUAUUGAAAAGGUUAAUCGAUUUAUAAAUUCAUGCAUCAAUUUCAACUAUUUGGAUGUAAUUUGAUUAUCAACAUAGUCAAUGUGAUUUAUUAUCGAUGAAGUGAAAAUAUUAUGUAGUGGGACGAAUGGUUGAGCAGGUGUUUUAGUUCAAAAGUCUCUAGACAGAAUGUUCUAUUUUAUGGCAUGAGCAUGUAGUUAGGAUUGUAUAUAAUGGUUAUUGUCAUCAUAAAGCAUGAGUAUGUUACAAUUCGAGGAUGAACGGGUAUUUGUUUUUAAUUUUUUCCUUAUAUUUAACAUAUUUGAACAAUUGUCCCCAGGUUUUCUGUGAAAGACUGCUAUAAAUGAAAAACACACAAAAGAAUCUAUAGGGAUGGAAUUAAAAAUUCAUGUAGACAAAUGAAUUUGAAACACUUGAGAAGAAAGUAACAUGCAUGAACUAAAAAAAGUGAACCGGGUAAAAGAAAGGCGUCUUACCCAACUACUAGUGCUUUUUGAAUCUUGAUAGAGACUUGUUUAUUACAAUGUUGCAUACAGCUUUGAAAAGAAAUGUAAAUUUGAUCUUUCUUGAUCUUUUAUCUGAUUAUCCUACUUGAUAUGCAAUUUAAUGGAACUUUUUUUUAUAUAAAUUGUAGAUGUGUCAAUGCAGCAGUUAGGAAGCUUGUGGGAUGUAAAUUGUAGGCUACUUUUUUUGCAAUUAGAAAAAAAUCUGAACUUUGCUAAGAAUAGAAGCAAGCUGCGUGGGAAAUGAUGUUUUCACAUUUAUGUGUGUAAAUCGCAGAACUUGUAUUUGUAUGCAAAAUUUCUUUAUGUAUGUUUAACUUGAUAUGUAUAUAAAUCAUAGAACUUCUUAUGUUAUGUGUGUAAAUUUAAGCACUAUCUAGGUGACUUAGUAAGUGAUGUAAAACUACUUUAUAUAUGUUAAGUUGAUUUGUUUUAACUAUUUAUUUAUAUUAUGAUAGUUUUUAGAGCCAAUUUAAUAGUUGAUUUAAUCCAUAUUUCACAGUUUAUACAUCUGGAAAUGCUGAAAAAAUAAUGACUUUAAUAUUUUUUAUAAUGAUUUUAGUAUAUCCUGGGGCUUGUGGGCGUAAAUCUUAUUUUACCUUUCAUUAGUAUGAUAAGUGUAAAAUCGGGAAUGCUUAAAUAUAAAAAGAAAAUGCGUAACUUUGUAAAUAUUGAACUAACUUUCAUGGCUACCAGAACUUCAUUUGGCCCUGAUAAACAACAUUAAUAUAUGAAUUAUUCAAAAACUUGAAUGGUGAAUCGAAAUAAAGUAGCGAAAAAGAUGGAAUUGAUGAGUUACUAGUAUAUGUGCAGCAUAACAUGAGUUUGAUUCUGCAUCAUGAAAAUAAAAAAUGGACUCAUGGGUCACGAAAAAUGACAAAAUAGUAGCGUACUCAUGCAGCUGAUUUAUCUUUUCCCUCUAUGAUUGCAUUACUGAUAACUCCCUUAGCCGCCUUUUUUUAGAAUCAUUUUGGCAGGUUGCCCCUUUUUGGUUUAUAAUAAUCAUUUGACCACUUGUAGCUGUAACUCAUUCCACGUUAUAUUUAUUUCCAUCCGUUGGAUUUGAGAAAUGACGAAUCCAACUAUCCAUAUUGUCCGGCUGUUUCUUCCAGUAAACGUAACAUAAGCGCUGUCCUAUUUAACUCAUGCUGUGUUUAUUUGCUGGAGUGGGAGUGAGGAGUGUGGAUUCUUCUCACUCCAACAUUUAUUUUCUCAAAAUGAGAAGGGAUUGGGAAUUUUAUUCCGUGAAUUCCAUCCAUUUUUAGAGUGGGGAGUGGGAGUGGGACUCCCAUUGGAGGAGGUGGGAGUGAGAAUCCACUCCCACCUCACCCUUUUUUACCCUUUUAUUUUUUUUAAUUUAAUAUUUUAUAAUUAAUAAAAUAAAAUAAAUAAUAUUAUGUUUAUUUGAAUAAUAUUAUUAUAUUUAUUUGAAUAAUAAUAUUAUAUUUAACUAAAUAAUAAUUUGCAUUGAUUAUAAGUUAAAAUUAUUUUAAAAUAAUAUUAUUAUAUUAAUAGAGAAUUAAUAAAUAUAAUAUUAUUAUAUUUAUUUUAAAAAUAAUAGUACUAUAUUUAUUUAAUAUUAAUAAUAAUAAAUAGUUUAUUCUAAGAAAAUAUUAAUUUUGUACUAAAUAAUAUUAUAUUAUUAUUUUAUAUAAUAAUAAAUUUAAUAUAAUUAUAUUAAAUAAAAUAAAAUAAGGUUUCAUUUUAUAUUAAAAUUAAAAUUAAUAAUUUAUUGUUCAUAAUUAAGAAUAUUAAUAAUUAUAAUAAAUUUACAAAUAUAAUAAAAUAAAUAUUAUUCAUUAAAUAUAUUUUUUAUUAGUUUUGUAAUUAAAAACUAUAAUUCUUUAAAUAAGGAUAAAAUUGUAAUUUGAAACUAUUUACUCCCAAUCCAAGACAAAGUAAACACAUAAAUUGGAUUCUGAUCUCUAUUCCAUNNNNNNNNNNNNNNNNNNNNNNNNNNNNNNNNNNNNNNNNNNNNNNNNNNNNNNNNNNNNNNNNNNNNNNNNNNNNNNNNNNNNNNNNNNNNNNNNNNNNNNNNNNNNNNNNNNNNNNNNNNNNNNNNNNNNNNNNNNNNNNNNNNNNNNNNNNNNNNNNNNNNNNNNNNNNNNNNNNNNNNNNNNNNNNNNNNNNNNNNNNNNNNNNNNNNNNNNNNNNNNNNNNNNNNNNNNNNNNNNNNNNNNNNNNNNNNNNNNNNNNNNNNNNNNNNNNNNNNNNNNNNNNNNNNNNNNNNNNNNNNNNNNNNNNNNNNNNNNNNNNNNNNNNNNNNNNNNNNNNNNNNNNNNNNNNNNNNNNNNNNNNNNNNNNNNNNNNNNNNNNNNNNNNNNNNNNNNNNNNNNNNNNNNNNNNNNNNNNNNNNNNNNNNNNNNNNNNNNNNNNNNNNNNNNNNNNNNNNNNNNNNNNNNNNNNNNNNNNNNNNNNNNNNNNNNNNNNNNNNNNNNNNNNNNNNNNNNNNNNNNNNNNNNNNNNNNNNNNNNNNNNNNNNNNNNNNNNNNNNNNNNNNNNNNNNNNNNNNNNNNNNNNNNNNNNNNNNNNNNNNNNNNNNNNNNNNNNNNNNNNNNNNNNNNNNNNNNNNNNNNNNNNNNNNNNNNNNNNNNNNNNNNNNNNNNNNNNNNNNNNNNNNNNNNNNNNNNNNNNNNNNNNNNNNNNNNNNNNNNNNNNNNNNNNNNNNNNNNNNNNNNNNNNNNNNNNNNNNNNNNNNNNNNNNNNNNNNNNNNNNNNNNNNNNNNNNNNNNNNNNNNNNNNNNNNNNNNNNNNNNNNNNNNNNNNNNNNNNNNNNNNNNNNNNNNNNNNNNNNNNNNNNNNNNNNNNNNNNNNNNNNNNNNNNNNNNNNNNNNNNNNNNNNNNNNNNNNNNNNNNNNNNNNNNNNNNNNNNNNNNNNNNNNNNNNNNNNNNNNNNNNNNNNNNNNNNNNNNNNNNNNNNNNNNNNNNNNNNNNNNNNNNNNNNNNNNNNNNNNNNNNNNNNNNNNNNNNNNNNNNNNNNNNNNNNNNNNNNNNNNNNNNNNNNNNNNNNNNNNNNNNNNNNNNNNNNNNNNNNNNNNNNNNNNNNNNNNNNNNNNNNNNNNNNNNNNNNNNNNNNNNNNNNNNNNNNNNNNNNNNNNNNNNNNNNNNNNNNNNNNNNNNNNNNNNNNNNNNNNNNNNNNNNNNNNNNNNNNNNNNNNNNNNNNNNNNNNNNNNNNNNNNNNNNNNNNNNNNNNNNNNNNNNNNNNNNNNNNNNNNNNNNNNNNNNNNNNNNNNNNNNNNNNNNNNNNNNNNNNNNNNNNNNNNNNNNNNNNNNNNNNNNNNNNNNNNNNNNNNNNNNNNNNNNNNNNNNNNNNNNNNNNNNNNNNNNNNNNNNNNNNNNNNNNNNNNNNNNNNNNNNNNNNNNNNNNNNNNNNNNNNNNNNNNNNNNNNNNNNNNNNNNNNNNNNNNNNNNNNNNNNNNNNNNNNNNNNNNNNNNNNNNNNNNNNNNNNNNNNNNNNNNNNNNNNNNNNNNNNNNNNNNNNNNNNNNNNNNNNNNNNNNNNNNNNNNNNNNNNNNNNNNNNNNNNNNNNNNNNNNNNNNNNNNNNNNNNNNNNNNNNNNNNNNNNNNNNNNNNNNNNNNNNNNNNNNNNNNNNNNNNNNNNNNNNNNNNNNNNNNNNNNNNNNNNNNNNNNNNNNNNNNNNNNNNNNNNNNNNNNNNNNNNNNNNNNNNNNNNNNNNNNNNNNNNNNNNNNNNNNNNNNNNNNNNNNNNNNNNNNNNNNNNNNNNNNNNCAGCAGAUUAUAUAUAUAUAUAUAUAUAAAUGUUUCAGUUCAAAAUUUUAAAGUGCGGGAAAGUGCGGAAAAAUUUUAAAACUGCAUGAUUUUAAAGGUUUCUGCUGUACGGCCAAGGCGGAUGUACGGUACAGCAGAAAUCCAAUACGAAGGGAUUUCAUCAUGAGAAAUGUAGAAUCCGCAAAAGAGAAGAGAAAGGCCUAAAAUCGCUACAACAAUGGUGAAACCUAUCUGUAUAUUGGGGAUGAAUCCAGCGACGAACGCCAUGAACGAAGUUCCAGCCCAGUAUGAAGCAAACAUUGUGAUGAAGAAGAAGAGGAACCCCGAGAAGCCUCCGGCUAGACCAACUGCCCAAAAGGUUGUUAACGCGAAAACAAGAGAAAGGGUGAUCAUGGAAGGAAUGGAGGCCAGAGCAUGAGCAAGUACAUAAGAUGAGACCCGGUAAGCGUUGUAGGAAGUUUCUCUUAUGAAAAUGUUCCGCUCUUGAAGCAAUGCGGGGAUUUCUCUUGCACAAUUGUAGAAUAUGGUGGUCAUGGCAAAUGCAACAAAAGCUAAGCGUAGUCGUGUGCCUUUUGGGGAGUCAUCGAGUUGCCAAUAAAGGGUGGCCAGUACACAUGCAAUCACAAGUUGUGCUCCUAGGCGAGUGCCAAAUAAUUCGGGCAUUCUUCUUGAGUUUGUGUUUGAUCUUUUGGAAAGAAACAGCAUUUCGGUCCAAAAAGGAUUGACAAAAGUUUGAACAUUUUUGUUUUUACCAGCCGAGACUAAUUUACCUCUGGAAAUACUUGCCUCGAUUGCGUCUUCAAGAUCAACAUCGGGUUGAUGAUCAGUAUCGGAGGCCAUUUUUGGAUUUCUCGUCAUCUGCCAGGACUUAUUGAAUUGAACUAAGCUGCUGAUUCCGCUAGGAGCUUCUUCAAGUUCACGAAUUAAGUCAAGAGAAAACUCACAUGGGUUUUCAUUCUCAGGAAUCGGAUGCCCAAACUCAGCAAAGAAUAGACUAAAAUCAGUGGCUGGAGUUCCGCUGUACACAGUCUGUCCAUGUGAUAGAAAUAUCAAACGGUUUAGUAGGCUGAAAAUUCUGUAACUCGGCUGGUGUAUGGACAUAAUCACAACACUUCCGCUCUUUGCAAUUUCCCCCAAGACCUUAACAACCUUAAAUGCACUUGUGGAAUCAAGCCCUGAUGUGGGUUCGUCGAGGAACAGCAGAAUUGGAUCAUGAAUUAUAUCAAUUCCAAUCGAAACACGCCUGCGUUCGCCUCCUGAAACGCCUCUGUGCUGCUCAUCACCGAUAAAAGUCUUCGCUGCACUUCGCAAUCCGAGCUGAUCAAUAAGAGCUUCAACUCUUUCUCGUUUCCUUUUCUUGGAGACAGAGCGUGGAAGCCGACACUCUGCCGAAAACAUGAGGGUCUCUUCUACGGUUAACAUAGGGAACAGAAGUUCAUCUUGCAUUACAUACGCAGAUAUGAUCUUCAAAAGCCUUGACUCCAAAACUGCUCCAUUCAAAGUCACAGUCCCUUUCAAGCUCUCCUUCUCAAUGCGGCCAGCCAGAGCAUCAAUCAGAGUUGAUUUACCAGCUCCGCUAGCCCCGAGAAUCGCCAUUAUCUCACCUUCUCUUGCUACCCCAGAAAUAUCAUCCAGUAGAAGUUUUGAAUUAACACCAUAUGAUAAGUUGUUAAAAGAAAGCACAAACGGGUGAGUCGUUGAUGCAGGGCUGCUAGCAUUGGACAGGUCAAUCACCUGAUGCUGAUCUUCGAGAUCACGGAUAGUGAGGGGAUCUUUGAAUCUGGCACUGCGAUUAUUAUUUUUUCCAGCCUCUGUUUUUUGCUCUGUUUUUGGUGCAUGGUGAAUGAGGAGCAAAGGGUUGUCGCCUGCACUUAGGGGCGACAUGUUUGGUGCCUCCAUAAUGACAAUGCUAAUAUGUUUGGAUCCAAAUUCGGAAUGGAAAUGCAAUGCAUAUAUAACUUGGUGGGCUUUGAAUUUAACUUUUAAAACGAAUCUUAUAAUAGCAAAAGAAAUCAUGUCCACAUUCCUUUUUUGAAUUUUUUUAAUAUCUUUGGAAGUAGUCCAUACUGUUAAACUUGCAAUAAAAAAAAAUGACAAUAAUUCAUUUGCUUGCUUCUCUUCUUACUUCUCCGUGUUAAACUACUUUAUUUUCACGCAAAUCAUCAACUAGACUACAUCCUUUAUUUGACUUAUAUAUAGAUAUAAUCAUUUUCAAAUGGCAGCAUCUUCAUUUUUUAUUACGGUUUACUAAUUAAUCAAAAUAAUUUUAUUAAACCAUAUAAUUUAAUUGUGAAUUAAAAUUGAAUUAAUUUUACAUUAAAAAAUAAUAAUAAGAACAUUCGCAUUAAAAGAGGAUUAUAUAUAUAUAUAUAUAUAAAUGUUUCAGUUCAAAAUUUUAAAGUGCGGGAAAGUGCGGAAAAAUUUUAAAACUGCAUGAUUUUAAAGGUUUAAAAUUAUAAGUCUUUAAAAUCGUACGGUUUUAAAAUUUUUUCGGACUUUCCCGCAUUUUAAAAUCACUGAUCAGAAAAUUAUAUAUAUAAUCUUUUACAAUAUUGUAAAAUUAUUUACACUAAUUUUACAAAAGUCGUUUUCACACUUUAAUAAAGUGUAAAACCUCAUUAAGAAAACACUCUAUAAAUAUAAUAUGAUACUUAAGGAAUAUCCCUCUUUUUCCUUAACCUUCAAGUUGUCCUUACUGUAUUGUUUUCUUUCCAAUGUUAGAUGUACAUAACUUCAUUAAUCAUUAUAACACAAACGUGUUGGCCGAAGUGAAAAACAGAAACAAACAGCAGAAAAAAUAGCAAUGGACAGCAGAUAAAUAGUCGAUCAAACAGCGGCAGAAAACGGCAAUAAACAUCAGGUAAAACAGCAGCAGAAUUGCAGAAAACACUAACAAAAGACAAGAGCAGGCAGAAAGAGCAGCCUUUAUUGUUUAAUAAAUUAUAAAUAGUCAGUGCGCGUGCAUUUAUUCAUUGUCCUAAAGACCAAAUUGCCCUCUCCAGGACAUGAAUCUUGGUUUAAAAAGGGGUGAUUUGACCUUCAGAAUACAUUACCCACUUACACAACUUUUAUAAACAUGCAAUUUUAAUUACAAAACUAUUGGAAAAGUGAUAUCCACCCACUGUGGCAGAUCAGAAAAAUAAUUUAUUAGAGACUAAUUUAGGUGGUAGUAAAAUAUAAAAAUUAAAACUUUAAAUAUGUAAAAUAUUUGUUAAUACAUUUAUAAUUGUUGUCCAAGUAUUUUCGUAUUUUGAAAAUAUUAUGCAAUAAAUUCAUUAUUAAUAUUAUUAAAUAUAUUUUUCUUAUAUAAACAACCAAAUUAUAAUUCAUUUCAUCAUAUUCCAUAGAUGAUUCUUCACGAAUUUUGUUAUUGAAAACUUCGCUCUAGUAUUAAUAUGGAAACUAGAAGAAUUAAUUCUGUUUUUAGAACACAAGAAUGUUAAUCUUUUACAAUUCCUAAAAGUUAGAGUUCAAAUUUUAUGGUUUAUAAAAUUAUAGGGCCUAUGUUAAUAGAUUUAAUGGAGGCUAAUUAGAGACCCAAAAAAUUUUCUUCUUUUAUCUUAGAACUUUUUUUUUUGGGCUAGAGGGGGCUUGAGCCCGCUGGUCACAUGCUGGAUUUGCUGUUGGUCACCCGCCGAUGAACCCCAGACUCAACUCCACAAAAGUAAAUUUUGGGGGUAAUUUUGUUAUUGAUUUGAAAAUUUGAACAACUUUAUUAUUACUUUUGAGUUUUUUUUUUGAAUUACAUGAGAUUCAUGCUCCGAUUACAACUCAUAUUAUAUGAGAUUUACAACUAAUAUUUACAAUCAGACAAUUACUGGGCCUAAUUUACCUUAAUUUUUAUGUAGCACUGCUUAAAUUUUACCCUCUCUAAUAUUUGAGGGGUGUUUACUCUACUCACAUUUCGAAAUAGAGUAAACUACCUUCACUUAAUAAUUAAGAAAGGAAAUAAGUCCCUACAUGCGUUGCGGGGACUCGAACCGUUGCGCUCACAGUUGUGAGUGCAAGGUUCUGGCCACUGGGUUAAGGCCCAGUUGGUUUAUUAUUACUUUUGAGUUUUAUUUACACUUUUGUGGGGCUGAAACUUAUUCACUAUCAAAACUUAAAAAGUCUUACAACAAUAUUUUUUGAAGUAUUCUUUAUACGGGUGAGAUAUCUUUUAUUUUGGAAGGAAAGUAAUAAUGUUAUAACCAAAAAUUUGGCGGCACAACUAAUUAAUUUCCACGGUUGUCAAUUACGCAUCCGUUGACAACUAGAGUUUCAUUCUACGGUCGUCGUGGCUGCAGAAGUACCCCCACUACCCAAGCGUAGCUAUAUUUGUUCUUUCAAUUUUCACUAAUAAGCAAAGGUAAAGAACAGAUAUAAAUAUAAAACCAAAAUAUAUACCCUAAUUUUUGGAAAACCUUAUAUUGAAUUAAAAUAGCAAACACCUUGACCACAUUUUGGAACUCCCUUAAUUGGUUGCUGCUACUUCCUGCUGUACCGUACAUCCGCCUUGGCCGCACAGCAGAUAAAUAGUUUAUUCUAAGAAAAUAUUAAUUUUGUACUAAAUAAUAUUAUAUUAUUAUUUUAUAUAAUAAUAAAUUUAAUAUAAUUAUAUUAAAUAAAAUAAAAUAAGGUUUCAUUUUGUAUUAAAAUUAAUAAUUUAUUGUUCAUAAUUAAGAAUAUUAAUAAUUAUAAUAAAUUUACAAAUAUAAUAAAAUAAAUAUUAUGCAUUAAAUAUAUUUUUUAUUAGUUUUGUAAUUAAAAACUAUAAUUCUUUAAAUAAGGAUAAAAUUGUAAUUUGAAACUAUUUACUCCCAAUCCAAGACAAAGUAAACACAUAAAUUGGAUUCUGAUCUCUAUUCCAUGCUUCCAUUCCAAUGUAAGUAAACAACCUACUCCCACUCCCACUCCAAACUCCCAAUCCUAGGAUUCCCACUCCUCAGGAUUCCCAAUCCAAUCCAAGAAGUAAACGCUACCUAAGUAGAUAAAGAUAUUAGGUUGAUUUAGGCAAUAAACACACAAACUUGAAUUAUUUAAUCUAGGUUAUGUUCUCCAAUUGAAAUAACUGAUUCCAAUUUGCUACUAAUGAUUAAAAUAUCAAGACAAUUACAGAUCAAAUAUUUUAAUCUAGUGAUAGAAUUUACUCAAAUCCUAUCUAAUUGGUCACUCAAAUAAGAUAAGAAUAAAAUCAUAAACAUUAAUUAUAAAAGAAUAUAACAAUUUCAAUUAAAUAAAUUGAAUGAUAGAAAUUGAUUUUUUCUCACAUGACAUGUUUAGGGUUUUGAAUUCACCCUCAACCAAAUAAAAAAUUUAACCUAACAUAAUUGAGUUGGGAAUAAAAGAGUUGAUAAAAUCAAUUAUGGAGAUUAAUCCAAAAGGCUGACUUUGCUUUCGUCUAUAUUCGACAGUGCUGCUCCAAUUUAAUACCUUUGGUUUCUCACCAGUGGCGGAUCUAGAAAAAUAAUUUACUGGGGGCUAAAUUAAGUAAAAACAAAAUAUAAAAACUGAAACUUGAAUAUAUAAAUUUUUUGAUAACAUAUUUACAAUUGUUCUCUACACGAUUUCAUAUUCUGACUCAUUAUCAACACUAUUAAAUACAUUUUUUUUUCUAUAUAAACAAUCAAAUUAUCAUUCAUCCAUUCAUCUACUAUCUUAUUCUGAAGUUCAUUUUUCACAAAUUUCAUUAUUGAAAAUGUUCUUUCUACUGUGACUGUAAAAACUGAAAAAAAACAUAACUAUUUGAUAAUUUAACAGAGAUUAUUUAAAAAUUUAUUAAUUUUUCUUUUAAAUAAAAAGGGGUAUUUUUUUUUCAGUGGGGGCUUGAGCCCCCACUAGUCCUACAUUGCAUCCGCCUCUGUUUCUCACUUAUUUUUCUCUUCAUAUGGCUGCCUCCCACUCUUCGGUGUGUGCCGCUUUUUUUUUUUUUUCCUAUUGUGUGUGGCUGCUCCAAAUGCCAAUAACCACGCCUUUAUACAAUGAUUUCAAAAACCAACCCAAGCAAGGCAAGAUUUUUGCAUGCGAUCUUUUAAAUUGGUCAUGUAAAUAUUGCAUGCAACUUAUAAAGUCAUGCACACUAGAUAAAUUUCUAUUUUUUGCAUGCUUGUCCCCAAGGUCUUCAUUAAUUCCACAUGAUUGCAUAAGCUUCUGCAUGUGUAUGAAUUAAUUUAUUGGCUUCAGUUUGAUAGGCUUGAAUUCCACAUGCAUGUAUGCUAAAUUGAUUCUAGUGCUCCACGUAUGCAUGCAUGAUGGAUAAUUAAAUUGCAUCUUCCUUUACUUGUUUUAAUUAAAUUUCUUUACUCCUUCCCCCUUUUAAUUCUUUAAAAUAUAUUUAAAAUUAAAAAAUACAAAAAUCAAGAUAAAUUAACACAAUAAAAUAUAAUUUAAUGAAAUAGCUAAACUAAAAAUUAACUAAAAUAAUUAGAAUAUUUAAGACUAAAACAAGAAAAAGAUUGAGAAAUCAAGUAGUAAAAUAUUGAGAAAAUAUGCACUUAUCAAAUUCUCCCACACUUAAUCUUUACUCAUCCUCGAGCAAACCUAAAAAAAAAAAAAGAACAGAUAGAAAACUUAAACUAGUCCCCUUUCAUAGAAGUCAUGCAAAUGUAACAAGCCUUUAAACCCCUAGGCAGCUCUAGUGGACGAGUUAUAGUCUCAUGAGGGCUUCAUGGAUGAUACCCAAAAACAUAAUUUUUUAAUUUAAAUAAAAUAAAAAGAACAAAAAAAAACUUGAAAUAAACCAUAAAACUCUGCUUAUUCUAAGAAAAUAUUAAUUUUGUACUAAAUAAUAUUAUAUUAUUAUUUUAUAUAAUAAUAAAUUUAAUAUAAUUAUAUUAAAUAAAAUAAAAUAAGGUUUCAUUUUAUAUUAAAAUUAAAAUUAAUAAUUUAUUGUUCAUAAUUAAGAAUAUUAAUAAUUAUAAUAAAUUUACAAAUAUAAUAAAAUAAAUAUUAUUCAUUAAAUAUAUUUUUUAUUAGUUUUGUAAUUAAAAACAAUAAUUCUUUAAAUAAUGAUAAAAUUAUAAUUUGAAACUAUUUACUCUAAAUCUAAAAUAAAGUAAACAUAUAAAUUGGAUUCUGAUAUCUAUUCUAUGCUUCAAUUCCAGUAUAAGUAAACAACAUACUCCCACUCUUACUUCACACUUCCAAUUUUAAAAUUCUCACUCUUUAAGAUUUCCGAUCCAAUCCAAAAAAUAAACGCUAUGUCAAAGCAGUUGGACAGGAAGGCGUCGCAAUUUGUAUCCCUCUCGUAAACCUUAAAGUUCUUCCUGACGGUGGAAUUAAUGCUGAUUUGACAUGCACUUUUUUUUUUAAGAUUUCUUGUCAAGGUGAAUUUAUGAGAGCAUACUCUCAUUUUAAGAUUUUGUCGUGAUCGAAUUUGCUCUGAGUCAAAUUUAUUUAAGUGAUUUAUAAUUAAUAAAUUAAAAAUAAAAUAAUUAAAUUUUAAUAAUAUAUUAUUAAAAGAUAGGUGAUACAAAAUUUUAAAAAAUUUAAGAGAACUGCUGUACGGCCAAGGCGGAUGUACGGUANNNNNNNNNNNNNNNNNNNNNNNNNNNNNNNNNNNNNNNNNNNNNNNNNNNNNNNNNNNNNNNNNNNNNNNNNNNNNNNNNNNNNNNNNNNNNNNNNNNNNNNNNNNNNNNNNNNNNNNNNNNNNNNNNNNNNNNNNNNNNNNNNNNNNNNNNNNNNNNNNNNNNNNNNNNNNNNNNNNNNNNNNNNNNNNNNNNNNNNNNNNNNNNNNNNNNNNNNNNNNNNNNNNNNNNNNNNNNNNNNNNNNNNNNNNNNNNNNNNNNNNNNNNNNNNNNNNNNNNNNNNNNNNNNNNNNNNNNNNNNNNNNNNNNNNCAAAAUUUAAGAGAACUCAAUUUAUGAGAAGAGGAUCCUUAUUUCUAAAUUAAAAGGAACCCCUUCUUUUAUCAAAGAAUAUUGUUAAAUAUUUAAAAUUUUUAUUUUAAAUUUUCUUUUAAAUGAUGUAGCACUCAUUAAUUGGUUAGUGAAAUAUUAUAAUUAAUUCACUUGGAUCUCAUAAAAAAUUAUCAACCAUUUAAUUAAUAAUAUAUUAUUUUAGAUAAAAAAUUUGAGAUAUCUAUUAUUACUCUCUAUCAAAUUAAAAAAGAAAGGCAUCCCUCCUUGGUACUGCCAUAAUAAUUAAACAGCUCAUACUACCAUAAUAAUUAAACAGCUCAUUCUGCUAUAUCAAUUAAGAGCUCUUUAUUGGAGUACAACGCUAAGAUUCUUUACCACUGUAAAUCUUGGAUCAUAAUGCAAAUGUUCAGAAAAAUGUGGUGUAAAAGGUAAAUGUUCAGAACAACUGGAACACUAUUUAGAAAAAUUAUCAAACUAUUUGGGUAUUACUGUAAAUAACUUCUGUUUAUAGGCCAAAAUGUAGUUAUUAAAACAUUUAGCCUUGGCUAAUUUUUUAGUCAACAGAGAUACUUUCUAAUUUCUAUAGAACAAAAUAAUAACUAAUGUAAUAAAGAUUAAAGAAAAAAAAAACAUGAAGAUGAAGAAAAACCAAUUAUUCAUCACAAGAUCUCUUUUAUGGGCAACAAUUUCACACAUUCUGUGCAAAGCAGGAACAAUAUCCAUAAUUCAUUUUUAUCUUUCACAUUAGAUAGAAACAAAUAGGAGAAUUGAUUAUUGGCGUAGAUAACUUAUCCUCCUACGAAACUGAGCCUAGCUUGGAACUUGUUCCUUUUCUACUAACAUAUCAUUAUUUAUCCAUUUCGAGUAAAAACAUAGCAAGUAGAGAAACUUGCACAUUUGAGCACAGCUUCUUUAUAAAAUUGUUAAUGGCGUUCUCACACUCUAAAAUGUAGUAGAAUCCGUGAAUGUGGAGAUAGAAUAAAAAAGGAGAGAUAAGAGGGAGAAUUAAUAAUAUUACUUUAUUUUUAUUUUCCGUUUUAAAAUUGAAUCUAUAUCAGUAUUAAUAGUAGCAACUAUAUAAAUUCAAAGGCUAGGAUUUUGUGUAUAAAAUUGUGUUUCUAAAAACGAUGAUAUCUUAAGUUAUACCAAUAAAGAUAUUCAUACCUGGCGAGUACCAUCCCAAAAUUGUUGAAUAUUGCUAUGAGGCAUUUCAAUGACAACAAGUUUCUUCUGAUUAAUGUUUGAAGGCAAUGAUUUCAAUGGAUAUCCAUGCCUGUGAAGAAACCUCACUUCAGCAAACCCGGGGCUUUCUUGCAAAUAAGACACCUUACAUCUGUUAUCUCCAUUUAUUGAGUUAUAAAAUUUCAAAAAUCUCAAUUUAUGCAUCUUUACGAAAGUAGUGGGAUUUAAACGGAUCUCGUUCGCUUUAGACAUAUCCAAGCAAAUGCCCUCAAUACUUUUAGUCCCCUAAUAAUCAGUAAAACACCAAAAAGUUAUAAAAUCAAAUUUAUGUAAAUCAAGUUGAUAGCGAUUUUUAGGCUGUCAAACACACAUAAACAUAAAGGUUGUGUAUGUAUAUAAUAUAUACUAUACAACUUGACAAAUAAGUUAUUUAUACAAACAAUUAUAUAGUUGAAUGGCAAUUAUAAUUUAUUGCUACAAUAAUUACUGUUUUUUUCAAUCAUCGACACUCUAAUAUUUGUAUAAAUCGAAGAUUAUUCCAAAAUACCAAUUCCUAACAAAAUGCUUACCGUGUUAUUUGUAAGAAUUUCGUACAUAUCCUCAUGAUGCCACAAACGACUCUGGUUUCCAGGAUUAAUUGAUUCUUGUCGGACAAUUUCCCUACCCAAUUCUUGCAGCAAAUCAUGCAUUGUUAUUCUGUCGUAUGGAUUAACAUCAAUGAGAGACUUAUCAGCAAGAACACUUAUUCCUAUUUCUAGGUGAAAGCCGCUUGCAUCAAGGAAUUUCAUUACUGGAUAUACAUCAUCACUUUUAAAGAAACAAGCAACAUCCAGGAAAAUACCUUUCUCGUUAACGUCCAAAUCAUCGUAACUUAGUUUUAGCACAUCAUGGAUUUUCGGAUGGAGAAUCUGUUUUAAUUUGUUUAUUGCACUUUCCCAUACUUUUUUUUCCCAUCCAAAUAGAAAGCAACCCAAAACUUUAAGAGCUAAAGGAACACCUUGAGCAUGUUGUAUUACCUUGCUUGACAGUUCCUCAUAACCUACAUCAGGGUGGUUUUGUUUGAAGGCAUGUCGACUGAAAAGCUCAAGUGCAUGAUCAUAUCUUAAACCCUUCAUCUCAUAUAUUUCUUGUGGUAAUUAAGAUUUGACUCUCAGGCAUGAACCAUUCAAGACUUCCAAUAAAAGAUUCUAUUUGGUUAAAACAAGUCACGUCAUCAAAAACAACCAGAACCUUCCUGCGGCUGAGCCUUUUAAAGUGGAGGUCAAUAUCAGGAAUCAUACUUUCAUCCCUAAAUAAAUUUGAAAGAAGUUUUUGUCGCAAGCAAGCUAGACCUCCUAGUCGUUGUGACUCUUCUCUAACAUUUUCAAGGAAGCAAGACCCUUCAAAAUCACUUGAGAUUUUAUCGAAAGUAGCUCUAGCAAUUGUUGUCUUGCCUAUACCACCAAUGCCCCAAAUCGCUAAGAGAGGUGCAGCACUUAACAGAGAUUCAAUUGCCACAACCCUUGAUUCUACUCCAACCAACCGAUUGUUAUUAUGCGGAAACAAUUCAGCCAGUCUCUUCAAAAUGUGAUUAACAAUUUCCUCUGUAAGUUCUGAUUCAGGUCUAGCAAAUCCAUAAAACUGCAGUAAGUUCAAAUAUCUAGGCAGGAUUUGCACCAAAUAUGACUGACUCGGUAGCUCUUACUUUGAAAGUGUUUAAUAUAUUAUAUGAUAGAACACCCGAUGAAAAUAUAUAAUACCAACUAGCAGAGCAUUUGUAAAGGAGGAAUUGUGCAAGCAGAGCUGCUAGUAAUUAAUUAAUCAGAAGAAACAGAUUUAAUUGCCUAAUGUUAUGAGAAUGAAAGCCAGACAAACUGGCUGCUUCCUUCAAAGCAUUCCUCCAACUCUGCAGCUUCUUUGAAUUCUCUUUAAAUCUUUCUUCAAGCUUCGAAAAUGAAUCCCCAAAAGUCCCUGUUUGGUUUCUCACGUCUGAUGGAUCAACGCGAUAAAAAACUGGUAUCACAAUCUGUACAUACUCUCUCUUGCAUUCGAGGAUCUUUAAAAGUUCAUCGAGACACCAUCUGGAAGAGGCAUAGCCUUCAGAGAAAAUGAUAACCGAAAUGGUUGAUGCUUCAAUUGCAUUCACAAGAGACUGUGAAAUUUUAUCUCCUCUGUUUAGUUGGUCAUCAAUGAAAGUUUCGAUGCUUUUUCGAGACAAAGCUGAAUAAAGAUAGUUGGUCAUCACGGGUGUCCUCUCCUUUGAAACUCAGGAAAACGUAAUACUUAUUGUUGUUUCGAGGUUUCAUCAAACUCAAACUGGUGGAUGAAUGAGAAGAAGAAGAAGGAAACAUAACAGAAACAGUUCAAAUGAAUUGAUUAAAAUGAUUUUGAUCAGAAAAAAAUAUAGGAUGCGCUAAUAAUAGAAUGUGUCUGUGCUCUUGAUAUGUAUGCUCUACUACUCCCUUGAAUCUUCAGGGAACUUUCGCAGUAAUUUCAUUCAAAUUAUUAUCUGCUUCCUUUCUAAAAGUUCCUUGAACACCGAUCGUAAAAAGUCUAAUGUGGCCAACUAGAAAUGGUUCAUGAUGAGCAUAAUUCAUAUACAUAUGUUAUCUUUUAUUGUAUAUUUGUUAGUUUUUUUAUUUUUUAUUUUUAAUUAAUUGAAUUGUUUUAUUGAAUAGGGAAUUAAUUUGAGAUUAUAGAUAAAAAAAAGACAUAAAAGAGUUCAAUUUCGGAAGCAUUAAAGAUUAAUUGAUUUUUGGGAGCAAUUAGGCAAAUAUGCAUGUGAAGCCAAAGAACCGAACUCAACAAAUUCAUUCAUCAUGCACAUGUGGACAAAGGAGAGAAAGUGAUUUUAGCUUUAAAAGUGGCCAGCACGUGAGAAGCAAUUGCAUGGCAUUGUAAUAUAUGGAAAGCAAUUUAAAGGGACCCGCACUUAGCUUUCAUAAGUGGAAAAAAGAAUGAAUCCUAAUGCAAGUGAUGAGCACGUGUGAGAGCAAAACAAAUUAAAAGGCCUUUGGCUUUAAAAUUGACAAGGUCCGUGGCCCAUUUUAGCUAACUAUAAAAGCUGACUUUGGCUUUUGAGACGAUGGAGAGCAGCGGCAGCAGCAUUAGUUCGGCUUCCCACGGCUGAUUUUAUUUAUUUUGUUGCUCACAAUUCAAGUAUGUUUAGCCAAUUUUCUUAUACUGUGAUUAAUGAUAAAAUCCUAUUUAAUGAAAUAAUUAUCUUUUUAUUUAAUUAAUUCCCUACAUGUGUGCUUUAAUGUUUAUGGUUUUUGUUUCACAUAAUUAAUUGGAUGUUAUUAAAUUUUUUCACCAAUUUUGUCAUUAAUUAUUGAUUGUUAAGAUUAAUAUUUGACUAAAUCUAUACUUGGAUCUAUAAAGUUUAUACAUAAUUAUCUUUGAUUAUGUGUCUUUCAUUAAAUUGUUUACACAAAGUGCUUAGGAAAAUUUUGAUUCUUUGUUAUUUAAUAUGUUUACAUGUGAUUCUUAGAUAUCAUACUAUUAAGCAUAAAAAAAACCCAUAUUAGAUUUAAUUACUUGGGCUUAAUUGUUGUAUCCAUGAGAUGACAUAAAUUGAUUUCGAGUUGUCACUCUAAAAUUGGGGAUUAAUUAAUAUUUAGAUAAUUACUAGUUGAAUAAUGGUGGAUUCAGAAAUCUUGAUAAAUUUUGUCUUACUGAAUUCUCCUUUACUUUAAUUGUUUUCUUAGUUUAAUUAGUUUAAUUUUCUUAAAAACUCAAUUUGCUCAACUAAGUUAGAAUUAAUAUUAAUUUUAGAUUUAAAUUAGACUUUUUAAUUUAUAACAAUUUUUGUGGGUUUGACCUCGUUACUACUAUUCUAUUUCUAUAUUUGUGCACUUGUGAGUAUAUUAAAAUUUUUCACAACAAUUCACGAGUUUGAGACUCCACUGGUCCCCCCCCCCCCAAAUUUUGAUGUGUUUCCAAAAUUCUUAAUGGAUAUGUAUAUUUUUCCGUUAUUAUUUUUAUAAUUUUUUAAAUAAUUUAAAUAUUUUAUAAUAUAAUAGUGAUGGUUUUAUUUGAGUUAGUCUUAAUUUUUAUUUUACUGAAAUUAUAUGUAAGAAUCUUUUAUAAAAUAGCUAAAUGUGUAAUGGGAUGUGAAUUGAAAAAUUGAUUCUGACUUUGGCAUUCACCAUCCUCACUUCACUAAAGUCAUUAGAGAAUAAGACAAAAAAAUAUGAGACAAAUUCUAAAGGGAACGAGAAAAGGAGAAGGCUUCCCCACCUACACUCCAUGAAAAAUUAUAGAAUACAUCAGAAGUACCAUGUGAGCUAUACAACAAGCAGAUAAUAUUAUGACAUGUGUAUAUUUAUUUUGAAAAAUUACUAUGCAAGUGGUUAUUAAAUGCAAUUAAAUAUGUCAUUCAUAUAUUAGUUAGUUGUAUUAUUUCCGACGUAUUUUAGAAUUUCUCCACUCCCACAUAUGCCUUCUUUUUAUUAGCAAUUACCAAAUUACCCAUAUAGAAUUUUUCGUUUCUUUCCUUUAUAAACUCAUGAAAUAAUUAAGCUUUAUCUCUAUUACUAUCUCUCAUCUUGUUUGCAUCUCCGUUGACAAGCUAGAGUGCGAUUUGAUAUCUUUCUACUGUUGAGUUAUACAAAGCGCUAUAAAAAUUAAGAAAAAAAAAGAGAGAAAUAGUCAUCAUUCAUUGCAAAAAUUUGAAUCACUAUGAUAUAAAAAUAAUGUCACAUACAUAUUUUAUGGAUACUAUAUCACACUGCAUCUCCAUGAACUUCAUCACAAACAAGCCGCAAUCAGCUCCAUUUGAUUGUAAUGGGACAUUAUCUAGAUAUGAAAUUUUAAAACUAAAAAAAUCCCAAAGUGGAUCAAAUUUUCUCAAAUAAUCAUCAAGGAAAACUUCGUCGAGCCCCUGUAAAUGUGAUAAUGAUGAUAAUAGUCCGCAAACAUUUGUAAUUUUUGGCAUAAUACAAGUGAAAUGCAAGCUUCACUUACAAUUGACUGAGUGAGUAAUUUUCCAAUAUAAUUACUAGUUGGUUUGAGUUAUGCUUUUGACUGCAAACUUUGCGAAAUCAGGUGAUUUUGACAACCAAUAUAUUGUGAUAAAAUAGUUGGAUAAACAACUAAGAAGAUUUAUGGCAAAUGUCUGUGCUGAAGAUGUAAGCGAGCAACUAAAGCUGCUGGUGAUUUAGGUAAUUGUGUGGUUAAUCAUUGAGGCAUUUAUUUUAAUUGUUUUGCUAUUGGCUGGAUAAUGAUGCUAAUGAUCUUAUGUAUCAUUACACCUUCCCAUGUGAUAGAACUUUCUCCACAUGAACUAUUUUGGAAUUUUUUACUUCCAUAAAACUAAGAAGUAUGAUGCUAAUAAAUUAUAGUUUAUGUGAUUACAUAAACAAUUCUUGGGCUGACUACUUGAUUUAUAAAUUAUGAAACUUACUUGUGAGUAAAAAACAAGUAUUUUUAGUGAGGAAUAUCUUAUAAUCUAUGGAUUUUAUAUCAUUUAUAUUUAUAGACAGUGAUUAUGUUAAAGACCAUAAAAGUAUUCUUUCUGGACUUCUUUUUAAAGCUACUUUUAAGUCAUUUUAUUUUUCAUUAAAGUCUUUGUUUUUGUGGUUUAAGUAAUAUAGUCAUUUCAUUUUUUUCAUUAUAGUCUUUUAAGUAUUCUUUAUCAUGUAUUUAAUCAGAGCUUGUAGAAAGUCAACAGGAGAGAGCAAUUAAUCUUUCUUAAGUUGUUGCACUAUUUCAAUCACAAAGGAUGUAGUAUAUUACUAAAAUUACAAUAGAAAAGUCUUUCAAAAGUUUUAUUAAGUAAUAGCUGAUUAUUGAUAAUUCAAUAUUCGAACUUCCUUUUCUGCAAAGUAUUCACUAGGUAUUUUAUUUUUUCUUAUGAGCUAUUCCAUAAAUAAUUUUCCAUACUCAAUUAAAGUUACUGUGUCAUAGUUGCCCACCAAGCUAAUUUUUGUAAACAUAAUUAGUGCUUAAUAGUCCUAAAUUAGGUUGAAUUGAAGUAAAACCUUGAUAGUUCAUUUAUACAUACUAUAAUUUUUCUUCCUGAACUAAGCUAACUAAAAACUUUGUGAAAGGCAGCCAUAUAUAUAAAACUCUAUCUGGGGGACUGGGAUUAGCUAUUGCUAAUGUUUUAAAAGACUUGGAGGAGUUGCUGCUAUAUAUUAAUCUCCUUCAUCGUCAAUGAGAAGUACUAUUGAAUGUUGUCAUUCAAUUCAUGUAAAGUAUACAAUUCUUAAUAAUAUCAGGUAUUUCCUAGAUAUUAAAAUUAUUGUUUAGACAACAUCAACAUCCACAACAUGCAAAGGUUUGUUGUGAAAUCCAUUUAGCAACAAGCAUUGGUUGUUGUUAAAAGUCAUUCUUCAUGCAGUGCCCCAUCCAGACAUCCAUCCAUGAUCCACCACACAUUUGUUUAUCUGCCCAUUUGACAGCAAACCAUGUGCAAACUUACUGUAAUUUUCCCAUUUUCUGCACCCAACACAACUAUAAUAAUUGUGAUCAUAUACUGGAAGUAAAUUAACUACUAGCUAAAAAAAAAAAAAUCAAAUAUCUAACUCAAAAUUUUUGAACCAGAGAUAUUUCCAAGGUGAUAGUUGGGACCAGCUAAACCUAGUCCCAACUGUAAUUAGUAAAAGUUGCAUCUCAUUGUAAAAUUUAAGUUUGCAAAAUGUUAGACAACUACAUUAAUAAAAGAAAACUUAUUAGAAUUUGUAACUAAUAACUUGAAAAUUGCAACUAAAAACUUCAAGCUAUCAUCAGGGGGUAAUGACUAAAACCCCUUACUACUCUAGAGAAAUUAAUCAUUUCUAAACUAUUCACUUUAUGUUUCUUAUGGUAAAAUUAAUAAAUUGUCAUGCAACAUUAAAAAAAAAAAAACACCACUGUAAUAGCUCUUAGCUAAUCUUUUAAGAUUAAUUGAGAGAGGGUGCCAUAUUUUUUGAAAAGCAUGUAUUCAGAGUAACAAACACAAUUGAAUCCCUACGUUUCAAGCAUGCUUCUCUAGGUUAACUAUAGACUUAAUUUUGUUGGGAAAUUAUGCUCUUUAAAAGCAUAUGCGUUUAUUUGAUUGUAAUAAAUAAUUUUUCUGUUUAAUAAAAUAAAUGAGGUAUUUUAUUCAAGAAUCUUAGUUGAAUUAAUAUUUUGAGUAAAGUCCAUUUAAUUAUAUUAUAUGUAUUUAUGUGAUCACCAUAUGGAUUCACAAAAGACAUAAAUACAAGUUAUCUUAUGAUUAAAUAAAUUUAGAUCGCAGUUGAUAAAUAAAGUUAGACACUUUAUUUAGGUAUAGACUGUAACAAAUUUAUUUAAUAAUUUGUCUUAAUCAUGUAUGAAUUUAUUGAUGUAGUACGACUACAUUGAAUAGGAUCACAUAUGAGAUUUAAUUAACUUUGUAAUAAUUGUCAGACUUAGUAAAUCUCAUAGGCAUUGAUUUUACAGUAAUCUUAAUCUUGAGUUAGUUAUAAUUUCAUAAUUGUAAUUGUUAUUCCAUUUGAGUUACCAAUGGGCACGACAUGUAUUUAUAGUCAAGAUUACCCAGUAUCUUGAUGAGAGCAAUUAUGAGUAUUGAAGUUAUAGAUUAACAAUAUAGAAUUUGUUCAAUACAUCUCUUGAUGGGUUUUCCGCACUUGAUCAUAGAAUUCCCUGGCCAGAAUGUGUCAACAUAUUUAGUAUGUUGAAAAUGGUCAUUAGAGAAAACCAGUAAGUAUCAAGGAAAAAGAUGUAAUUAAAUUGAUUGGAUAGUUGAAAUAUCAAUUUAAUUAACGAUGUAGUACAAAAGAUUAUGCAGUAAAGAAAUCAAUGUGGCUUGAAAUGAAUUAUUAUUCAAGCAUACAAUUAUGGAAGACAGUUCCAAUCUUAUAGUGGAGUAGAGUUGGAAUUAAAUGAUUAGGCUUGUUCAUUUACAAGUUUAAUUGUUGUAGCAACUAUUGUAUGUUCCCAAAUGAUCCUCGGGUUAGCUCAUUUAAUUUUCUGUACCACUAUUGGACCUAAAAAUAAGAAAAUUGGCAUAUUAGGUGAUAAACCUAAUUAUAAUAUUUGUUAAGACCUUAUGUAUUAUACUCAUGCGCAAAUGGGGCCUUGUGUUAUUUUACAAGGUGGGCCCCAAAGUGGUUGCACAUGAUCUCCACUUUCACAUAAGUGGAGAGAUAAUAUUAAAUUCAAAAUAUUUUAUAUUGAAUUAUAAUAAUACAUAUCUAGGGUUUUACAAGAGAUAUUAAACAAGUGUAUUUUUCUCAAGCCUAAGGAGGUACGUGAUUAAAAAAUACACGUUUUCAGAAAAACACAAAAGAGGAAGCUUUGUUUUGGAAGUAGUGAAACGGACGCCCACACGUCCAAUGUUGAUCAAAAUUGAGUCAUAGCCUGGAAGAUUAUUUGGUGACAGAUCGUGAUCUAACAAGCACAGCGGAAGUGUGGUGGUAACAGAUCGUGAGCCAACAAGCGUGGUGAUGACGGAUCGUGAUCCAACAAAAAGAGUGGUGGUGACAGAUCGUGAUCUGCAAGCCUAGAUUAAUUUCAAUUAUUCAUUUUCUCGGAUUGUUAAGGUAUGAUUUUCUAGAUUAUGAAUUCUUAUGUAUUGUAUGAAAUCGAUCCUGAAUUUUUUUUUUUUUUGAGAAAAACUUAUUUUUAACCAACAAAAUUUCCCUUUAUUAUCUCCUUGGAACUCAUUCUAACUUGUAAUAUUUAUUUGUGUAAUAUAAAUUUUAUUUAUAUUAGUUGUAAAUUUUCAAGGUAUGCUCGGUCUACCGCUCAUCUAUGCUAUAAUUAAAUAAAUUUACAUAUUCAGUAGGCAUUUGAUUGAAUAUAAUUAUUGUAAUGUUGUAAUAAAAUAUAUAAAGAUAAACAAUUAAAAAUAAAAAAGAGUAAAAGCAGAGGAGCAAAAUGGGAUUCAAUUUCCAAUAAUUCAGGUGAACAAAAGAUUCAAUCAAAUGUCCAAUACUUUUAAUUUGCUUUUUAAACACGAACUAGCAGCAAACUCCAGUCUAAUUAAAGAGUAAAGACUCUUUUUUAUUUCUUAAAAAAAUAAUCACUUUCCCUUUUCUUGAUUCACACAAAUCAUAAGUGCUAAAGUGCUUUUACCAAUUAAAAAAGGCCAAUCACCACUGUAUCAAAAGAUAAAACUCAUUUUGCAUAUAUGGUUUGAGGAUAAAGAUCCUCUCUUGAUCUGAACUCUCAUGAGUUUUUAAAGAUCUUGUGCUAUAUGUCUUUAAGUGAUAGUGUAUGGAUAAGAUUUAAUUUCUUUAUUUUUUUAUUUAUUGACUACCAAUCACUGACUUGUAUUUUUACUCAAGAAGAGAUCAGAUCAGGAGAGAAUCCUGAUCUAUGGUUUGAAUGUUUGACAAAGUUAAUGCAUGAAAAAAAAUUCACGAUUGCGACUGUUAGAAUCCCUGGAUCACACUCCAAAAUUCCCCAUUCUACAAUCUGAAUAAAGAGAUUACUAAUGCUGAAACCAACAUCUCCUGCGAUUACACCGCUCGACAAAUCAUCAAUAUUGUUGCUCUUAAGUCCUAAUUGUAAAAAGAUUAUUCUUUAUUAACCUCUCUGGAAAACCCAACUCUCCUCUUGGUUUCCCACUCAGGUUUCCCACUCAAAUCACAAAGCCAAAGAGAAAGCAAAAGCAAAUCGCCAAGUUUAUAUAUAUAUAUAUAUAUUUUUUCUUUUAAAAGUCAAAUCCCUUUUUUUAUAAAAAAAAAAUUUAAACCAAUAAAGUUUAAAUUUUAAAACAAUAUUUAACCGACUUGUAACCAGUAAAAUAUAAUUUAAUUGAAUUCUUUUAUUAUAUUAUAAUUAUUGUGGAUCAUUGAUUAAUCCCUACUUGUAAUUAGAGUAUAUGUUGAAAUUAUUUAUAGUAAACAAACAAUUAUACCAAAAAUAGGUUUACUUGGUGGUGGUCGUUUCGGCGUGUCACGACUUAUGUUGAUUCUGUUCUAUGAAUGGUCAUGAUGGAUGGGUCGAUGAUUUUGGAGGUGUAGCUCUUAAUUACUAUAUGACAAUAUGAUUAAUUCAAAAAUAUGAGAAAUUAAUCCUAAUAAAUUUUAAAAAAAAUAUGGAAAGAAAAAUUGAGUAAUUGAGGCAAAAUUAUGCAAAGAAAUUAAACCGACUGAGAAGAUGGAGCAACUUAAAUUUGCUUGAUGCAGCAAAUCAAAUGAUUGGACCAAGAUGCUUGAUUCCCCAAAAGUCAAUGUCUUCAAAGUGUUGAAACGUGAAAGGAAAAUACAACCCUUCACUCAAAACAAAGACCUAGAUUGACUGAGAUAGAAUUUCAUACACAUGAAAGAAAUUACGAGGGCUAAUUUGCUAUUCUAAUAAUCUCUUUCUUAAUGAUGACUUUUUGACUUGUGUGGGAAUGAAGUGGGAGCAAUGAUGAUGAUGGAGAGAAUAAUGGUAAGAGGACAUGAUUAUUGUGUUGGGGAAAAAUAAGGUUUUUAAAUUUUUUAUAAAACCUUUUGAAGAUCGCUCUCAUAUAAUAUAUAAGAAUUUGUAUUCUAGAAAUUGUACCUUGAAAAUCCGAGUUGGUUUUUCCCGCUGAAGUGAUUUAGUCUCCUAGAUCACGAUCCGCCACCACCACUCCUGUUAGAUCACGAUCCGUCACCACCACGCUUGUUAAAUCACGAACUGUCACCAAUGAUCUUCCAGGUUAUGACUCAGGUUCGAUCUGCACUUGACGUGUGGGCGCCUUUAUCACUACUAAAGCAACUAACACGAGAAAAUUUUUCUCUCAACAAUAGAGAGAAAAAUCUUAUUCUCUGAUCUGUAUAAAGUGGCUUCACUGUUUUCCUUUAGAGAAAAUAAGCCUUAUAUAUCUCACUUUACUGAAAACCCUAGGCUCCAAAUAAUUACCCAAAAUAAAACUCACGUUACUUUUCAUUUAAUAGGGGACCCACCAUGUAAAAUAGCAUAAGGUCCCUUACACAUAAGCUAAUUAAAUGGAGCCUCCCACUAAAUGAUAUAUUUAGGCUUUUGACCCAAAUAGCCAGUUAUCUUGCUUAUUAGUCCAGUAGUGGUGGCUUAUUAGUCCAGUAGUGGUGCAGAGAUCAUUUGGGAACAUACAAUAGUGGCUAUAACAAUUAGGCCUGUAAUUAAACUAGCCUAAUUAUUUAAUUCCAAAUCUACUCCACUAAAAGAUUGGAACUGACUUCCAUAAUUGUAUGCUCGAAUAAUAAUUCGUCCCAAGCCACAUUGAUUUCUUUACUGCACAAUCCUUUGUACCACAUCAUNNNNNNNNNNNNNNNNNNNNNNNNNNNNNNNNNNNNNNNNNNNNNNNNNNNAUUUAAUAAGUCUGAUAGUUAUUACAAAGUUAAUUAAAUCUCAUAUGUGAUCAUGUUCAAUGUAGUCGUACUAUAUCAAUAAAUUCAUACAUGAUUAAGACAAAUCAUUCAAUGAAUUUAUUACAGUCUAUACCUAAAUAAAGUGCCCAACUUUAUUUAUCAACUGCGAACUAAAUUUAUUUAAUCAUAAGAUAACUUGUAUUUAUGUCUUCUGUGAAUCCACAUGGUGAUCACAUAAAUACAUAUAAUAUGAUUAAAUGGACUUUAAUAAAAAUAUUAAUGCAAUUAAGAUAUUUGAAUAAAAUACCUCAUUAAUUUUAUUAAUCAGAAAAAAUAUUUAUUACAAUUAAAUAAACACAUAUGCUUUUAAAGAGCAUAUUUUCCCAACAUAUUGAUGUUGGCUUAAUUCUGCUAACAUUGAGAGUUAAAAGAAACAAGAGAUAGAGGAUGAAAAAAUAGAAAAUUCAUUCUACAGUUUCUAUGCUCCUUUCUCUCUCUUUCUCUCUUAGCAUGCCAGAGGACCAAAACAGAGUGAGGAUGAAAAAUUGUGCACAGAAGGAAUACUAUAUCAGAUAAUAUAAAAUUGAUUGAGAGAUCUGGAACUCAACUGCUUAGCAUAACAUGAAACCUUCGACUCUCUAAAGUUGGAAGCCAAUGAUUCACUUACCUUGCACGAGUGAUGAUGAACAAACCAAGACGAAGACAGCGACAGUAGAGACGCAACAGUUGAAAGGCAGAAAAUUAGCUAAAGGAUGACUACAAUCUGCAGAGGUAUUGUCAACGCACUCGAACAGAAGUUAACGCAGGGGUGGGUGUGGCUUUCUUAUUUGUAAUUCAUUAAUUAGGGAUUGAAUUUUGCCUUUAUAUUAUAUUAUUCUUUUAAUAGGAAAACCCCCUUUCUUUAAUUUUAAACUGGUAAAAUUUUACUUUUAAAAUAAUAUUUAACCGGCUUGUAACCGGUUAUAUGUAAUUUAAUUUAUUUCUUUUAUUGAAUUAUAAUUAUUGUGAAUCGUUGAUUUAAUCUAACGGCACACAAUAAUCAUAGUAUUGAUACCGUGAUUUUAACGACGACAUUACAGUAUUGAUGCCGUGAUUGGUUGUAGACCACAGCAGCAGUGGUGCUAAACAUUCACAACAGUCCAAGACUAUCGUGUAGAAGCUAUAGGAGUACAGCUAGGAUGAUCGAUGAUCAUUUGGUGGAGUUUUGUUAAAUCGUAAGGAGCUUGAAAUUCUGCAAGUUCGUUGGUGAAGAUCAAGUUUGCUUGGCAUUGUCAAAGUCUUGUAAAUAUGAUAGGUGACCUUGAAGUAGUUGGAGGAGUCAAGAAGCUCAACAACAGAAAUUUCAAUACAUGGACAACAAUGAUGGAAUUUUAUUUAUAAGGCCAAGACCUCUAGGAGAUCGUUUGCAGUAAUAAUAUGAAACCACCAACUGAGGAUGCUGCUUUAAAGAGGUUGGAAUAUUAAAGUUGGGAAGCUUAUGUUCGCUAUCAAGAGUACAUUUGAAGAGGAUAUACUACAAUACAAAUAAAAGGCUAAAACGCCUAAGAAAGUUUUGGACACUUUUGCAACAAUUUUUUGAAGAAGAACAACAUGUGGCUACAACUUCUAGAGAAUGAGCUACUAUCAAUUUCACAAUGAAACAUAAAAAUUGAUGAGUACUUCAGCAACGUAAAGUGUUUAUGUUAUAAAUUUCUAAGAUUAUACUGUUAUAAUUUAUGAAUCUAGAAUGAAGAGAAUUAUUUUCCAUAGUUUGAGGCCUGAGUUUAAGAGCUUUGUUACAAUUGUUCAAGUAGGCUAACUCAACCAACCUUUAAGGAAUUUGAAAACUUGCUUGCUAAUCAAGAAGUGAUUGACAAGCAAAUGAGUGGGGCUUCAAUAUAAAAUGACAAAGAAGUGCUCUUAAUUGAUAAGAAGAGACAUCAAUUUAGACAACAUAAUGGUAGAGGAUCUAAAGGAGAUGUUGAUGAGUCAAGAGGUCAUCAACAAGAAGGUAGCUCAUAAACUAGAGGAGCACAAAAGAAUAGCGGCAAUGGUGGCCAAUACAAGCUAAAAAAAAGUUUGAAGGGAAUUACUACAAUUGCAGAAGGAAGGGCCAUAUGGUAGAAGAUUGUUGGUUUAAGAAAAAGUCUGAGGGGAAUAAUGUUGCCACUUCCAAUUAGAAGAAAGACAAUAAUAAGGAAUGGGAAACCAAAGCAUCAAUCGCCAUUGAGAAAGAGAAGUUAACUCUGUAGUCACAAUACCUAGCCAAAUCAACUACGAGAGUGAUUGGAUCGUCGACUCAGGGUGUUCAAAUCACAUGACUGGUGAUAGAAAGAAGUUAUAAGCAUGACUAAGUACAAAGGAGGUCACGUGGCAAUAACAACAAAUAACUCGCGAUUGCCAAUAGCUUAUGAUGACACUACAUUUCUUACACCUUGAUAUGAUCCGCACAAAAUGUUACUUCAAGAUGUAUAUUAUGCCCCAGGUAUAAAGAAAACUUACUCUCAGUAUCACAAUUAACAUCAUUAGUCAACUAUGUCUUGUUCAAUCCUUAAAAUGCCAGGAUGUAUCAAGACGUAAAGAUUUCGGGGACACAUAUUAUAGAAGGAUGAAGGUUAAAGUCAGUCUAUGUAUUACCAGCAGAGUCUACUUAUGUAAAUAAGACACGAAAGAAUGAGACAGUAAAUUUAUGGCAAGCUUUGUUGCGACAUGUUAGUUAUUAUAAGUUGAAGGUGAUGAUGAACAAGUCAAUACUCAGAGACCUGCCUCAACUUGAUAUGAGAAUAGACAAGGUAUAUGCAAGGCGUUAGUAUGGCAAGACUCACCAACUCCCAUAUGAGGAGUCGAAAUUCAGAGCAAAAGAAUUAUUAGAGUUGGUGCACUCUAAUGUGUUUAGGUCUAUCAAGCAACCUUCUAUCAGUGGUAUGGGAUAUAUGGUCACAUUUAUCAAUGAGUUCUGCAAGUGUGUUAUUUUUUUUUGUGAAAGAAAAAUUUGAUACUUUUUCAAAGUUUAAGGUAGGGGUGGGUAAAACUGAACCAGAACCGAAAAAAAUUGGUUUGGUCAUUUUUUUUUGUUUCGGUUUAGUUUUUUAUUUGAAAAAAACUGAGUAUUUCGGUUCGGUUCGGAUUUCGGAUCAAACUUUAAAAAACCCGAACCAAACCGAUAAUAUCAUUCGGGUCCAUCUCUUUUAUAAAAUUUUAGUAUGGCCCAAUAUUUAGAAAAUAUUUGCAUAUAGAAAUUUUGUUAUGGCCUAACAUGUUUUGCAAACUUUUCAAAAAAGUCCUUGACCAAAAGUCAACAAGGCAAAAUAACAGUUUGAUCCCUAUGUUUUUUAUAAGUUAUAUUAUGGCGCAGAAACUUAUUUUAUUUUAUUUAUGUUUUGAGCCAAAAGUUUUGAUAUUAAAAACAGUGAUGAUGAUUUUGAAAAUUAUUCAGUUUAGUCCAAAAUUUACAAUUUUUUUUGCUUAUACAAAUUUGUAAUUUUUUUGCUGAUUAUAAUUAAUUAUGGUAGGCCUUGUGUGCAAGUUAAGAUAAACUGAAAAACCGAUUUGUCAAUCAGAUCCGUUACGUCAACUGUUACCGAAAAUUCGAAACCACACUGAAAAACUGAAGCCAAACCAAAUCGAACUAUCGGUUCCGGUUCGGUUUUUAUUUUCUCUAAAAACCAAACGGAUUUUUUGAAUUUUGGACCCGAACCAAACCAAAACAAAAAAAUUAUCUAGAAACCGAACCGAACCGAUGCCCACCCUUAGUUUAAGGAAUCUAGAGACGUAGUAGACGGAGAAGUAAGAAAGAAGAUUUCUUGUCUAUGAACAAACAAUAGAAUAGAAUAUACAUUAUAUGAGUUCACUUAGUAUCUUCGAGAUUUUAAGAUACUCUAUCGGUUCACUUGUGCCAAUACACUACAACAAAAUAGUGUCGUAGAACGAAAGAACCUGCAUUUAGCUAGGGAAAGAAUGCACCAGGGAGUUUUUGGGCUGAAUCUAUGAAGAUGCAACUUAUGUGAUCAAUAGACUUCCUCAGCAAAACUAAUUUUCAUAUCACCUUACGAGAAGUUGUGAAAUGUGAAGCCUAUAGUCAACCACUUUCGUGUAUUCGGUUGUGCGUGCUAUGUCUUCAUGCCAAGCUAUUUAUGAAGCAAAUUUGACUAGAAAAUGAUUCAUUGUAUCUUUGUUGGGUAUGACUACCAUAGGAAAUGAUGGAGGUAUUGUAAUCUUACUAGUGGAUGAUGUUGCACAACACAAAACAUGGUGUUUGAUGAAUCAUCUUUGUGGUGGUCUUUCAAAAAAGAAAAGCUACCAUAUUUAAAAGAAAUUUAAGAUCAAAUGAAGGAAUGAAUUGCUAAAAUUUACCCAAGCUAGAAAAAAUUUAAAGAUUCUGGUAAUCCAAAGGAUGAUGAUAUCGAGCAUGAUGAGGCAUGAAGUCCUUAGAAGACAAGUUUUCACCAGAGCCGUAUUGAAGAUGAAGAAUCCUAAAUCUCAAUUUAGACGAUCCAAAAAAAAAUGAGAAAUCCAAAUCUCAGGUACGCUAAUAGAGCAGCUGCAGAAGAAGAAAAAAAUAAAAGAACCUAAGACAUUAGCAGAAAUAGUAAAUAAUUCUCAUUGGAUGAAGGUAAUGGAGGAAGAAAUCUCCUCACUUAAGUGGAAUCAGACUUGGGAUAUGGUUCCAAAACCAAAGGAUACAAAAUCAAAAUUUUACAAAUGGGUGUAUAAGAUUAAAAAGCGCCUAGAUGAUUCAAUUGAAAGGUAUAAAGAUUGGUUGAUAGCUUGAGGAUUCUCACAACAAUACGGGUUAGACUAUGCUAAAACAUUUAUUUUGGUGGCAAAGCUUAUAACAGUAAGAGUCUUACUUAUACUCGUAGCUAGUAAAGAAUGGAAAUUGUAGCAGAUAGAUGUAAAAAAUGCCUUUCUACAUUAAGGAAUAAAUCGAAAGUUCUACAGCCAGAAGUGGGUGAUUAGUCUUGUCUUGUUGGCACACAAGACAAGUCUACAUGUCUACCUUGAUAUUGUCUUUUAUGUGUGGCCAAAAGUAUGAGGCUUGGACGACCUAGAGGAUUUGAGAAUAAAACUUAUCUGAAAUAUGUAAGUAAGUUGAGAACGGUACUUUAUGGUUUAAAGAAAGCACUAAAGGCAUGGUAUGGUAAGAUUGCUGAAUUUUUAACUUAGUAUGGUUAUUUAGUGGUACAUACAGAUUCUAGCUUAUUCAUAAAUGCUGAUGAAGGAAAUUUAUCAACUAUACUUGUGUACACGGAUGAUUUGAUUCUUACUGGUGAUGAUGAAGAAGAGAUUCAAUUAACAAGAGAGAAAUUAUUAGUUCACUUUCAGAUGAAAGAACUUGGUUAGCUUAAGCACUUCUUUAGUCUAGAGAUUGAUCAAACAGAAGAGAGGAUAUUUCUUUGCCAACAGAAAUAUGCUAAAGACUUGCUAAAGAAGUUUGGAAUGUUGGAAUGCAAGCCAAUCUUAACUCCAAUGGAAGUCAAUGCAAAAUUGUGCACAUAUGAAGGCAAAGAUUUACAAGAUAGAACAAUAUAUCGACAAUUGUUAGGUUAUUUAAUCUACCUAAUGGAUUCGACUAAACAUUUCAUAUGCAGUGGUUAUAAUGAGUCAGUACAUAUAAUCCAAAGAAGCCUUAUUUGGAAGUAAUUUGACGAAUACUGAGAUAGUAAAAAGUACAAUCGACUUCGGUCUAUUGUACAAGAAUAUUGAAAGUUGUAAGCUGGCAGGCUAUUUUGAUGCUCACUGUGCUGGAGAUCAUGAUACAAGAAGAUCAACUACUACAUAUAUUUUGAGAAUGGGGUCUGAAGUAGUUUUCUAGUGCAACCAUAGAAGCAAGUAUACAACAAUAGUGAUGGCAGCUCAAAAAAGUACUUGGUUAAUGUAGUUGAUGAAGGAUCUACACCAACUAGUAUAUUAUCCAGUACCAUUGUAUUGUGGUAAUCAAUUGGCAAUUGUUAGGAUUCUUCCCACAUAGAUUCACAACAAUGGUAGAUUUUUUUUUUAUGUAAUAUUAAUUUUUUUUAAAGGUAACUGCAAUGACUACGCUAUAAUUGUGAUGCGUGGGGAAACAAUGUCCAUAUACAAAGGGCAAGAUCUACCAAAUUUAUGGAGGAUUCAGUGUGGUCAAUGAAAGGUGUUAUUGGGGGACAUGGAUCAAUUUUUGUUGCUAUCAAUGCUAUAUAUAUCACAUUUUUAUUAUAAUCUUUCUUUUUGAAAAUGGUUAGUGAUCACUAUCAACACUUAAUGUUCAACAAUUCAGGUCAUAUAUAGGUCCCACAUAUUAAUAUUAUCAAUUAUACGUGUAACUUGUGAGUAGCUCUAUCGAGCUACUUUGCUAUUGCUUUCAAAAAAGUUAAAAGUUAAUUUUGGUAUUAGAUGAAUUUUUUAAAAAAUCACUUUUGAUAAAAUUGUCUCAUCUUACAACGGAUUUUAAAAAGUUGGAGUAACUUUUCAAAAUCUAAUGUUAAAAAUCAUUUUUUUAAUUAAUACAAUUUCAUAUAUAUUAUAAAAAUCUCAAAUUAUCUUUAUUAAUUAAGAAAUAAAAUUAUUAACUCUAAUGAGAUUAUUAUUAUUACCAAUUAUAUUGAGAUAAAAAAUAAAAUUAAUACUAUAUAAUGUCUAUUUUAGUUAUCAAUUAUUAUAUACACAAUAAAAAAUAUUAUAUAUACAUGUUUAUAAAUGUGUAAACUAAAUUUUAUUCAAUAUUAUGUCCAAUCCAAUCAUUUAUAUUCUUACAACAGUUUAAAUAUAAGAUUUACCAAUCACAUACUCUUGCUUUUAAAACUCAUAACAUUUUAAAAAAUAAAUUUUACCAAACAUUUAACUUAUUUUGUUCACAGUUGAUUAUUUUUACAAUAUAGUUAACAACAAUUAUUUAAAAAUUAUAGUAUUACCAAACUAGCCCUUAAGCACUUCGCAUUUCAUUCUCAAGAUUAAAAGUUUGAGUCAUUUUGUGAGUAUUUUGGAAGUUAAUUGUUUUAAAUAUUUAAAAACAGAACAGUUCAUUUUAAAUCUUAACAUCGAAAUUAUAUAACAAAAUUUAUUUAUGAGUAAAUUUAUGUUAUUGUAGAUAUCAAUAAAUUGGAGUGUAACUUAAAAAAGAAAACCUCAUCUUUUUGGCGUUUAUACAGAUCAAAGACGAGCCUCGAAAUUCGCUUUGCGUGUAUUCACUUUUAAGGGAGUCAAAUUCAGUAUCUUUUUGGUCAAACCUAACUUAACAAUAUGUUAACUUAACCAUUCGGUCAAACCCAAAUACUAUUACUUGACCUCAAGGCAAACUCUGCUAAUUUUGCCGGAAAUACGUGAUUUCCCAAACCAAGCCCCCACAUCAUAGUAAUUUAUGAGGAUGCCACAAACGUAGAAACAAAGCAUCCUAGGAAUUUGAUUCAUCACAUUUAAAUCUUUAUUUUCUUAAUACGACAUUAGCUCAUGCUCCAUAUGAAAAUAAAGAGAAUUAAAAAUAAUAGCUUCACUUACAAGUAAAUGAAAUUGCAAUUAAUGGAGUGCCAACUGCCGAAAUGUCAAACAGGAGACCAACAGGUAAAAGACUGAAGAUAAUGUAGAUCUAGUCAGAUCCGAAUUUUAGGUUAGCUACCGCAAUAACUAGGGGUGGGCACGGUUCGGUUUGGUUCGGUUCGAUUUGAAAUUAAGUAGAACCGAUUUAAAUCGGUUAUUUUAUAAAAAGAACCGAAUAAGAACCGAACUCAAACGGUUCUUUUCGGAUCGGUUCGGUUCGGUUCGGUUUUUUCGGUUCUGAGCCUAUUGGGCCUAUUUUGAAUUUUUAAUUUUUUAGCCCAUUGGACCUCAUGAAUGUAAUAAUUUUUCUCAACAAUUAAUUUAUCCUAAUUUUAUUACAAAUAUUAACAAUAAAUACAAAGUAUUCAAAACACAUUUUAUCACUAAUAUCUUACUAACUAUUAAUAAGAUACUCCCAAAAUAUGAAAUAUUAAAAUUUCAAAAUACAUAACCAAACUCCAAUACUCCAUCUAUAUAAACAUAAUCAUAAUGUUAUAAAGAGAAAUAACACAUGUUUGAUUUGAAUAAAAUCAUGUUUGAUUUGAAUAAAAUUAUUAACACAUGUUUGAUUUAAAUAAAAUCAAAAAAUAAUUCGGUUUUUCGGUUCGGCUAAGUGAACCGAAUACCGAACCGACAUUUCGGUUUUUUUUACAAACGGUAUAUUCGGUUUUUUUAAAUAAAAAAAAACCGAACCGAAUUAAAAAAAACCGUCGGUUCGGUUUGGUUUUUUUAACACUACGGUUUUUUUGCCCACCCCUAACAAUAACUGAUGACUGGAUAAGGCUAUGUUGCAGACGCUGUACCUGACAGCUGCACCUUAGCCAGCUCCACAAAGGGUGCAUUUGGUAAAGCAAUUUCUCUCUCCUGUGCACGUGGGUCCUUCCACCAUUGGCAGUGUACGUAACAGACAAUGUACCGUAGCAAGCUCCCUGAUGACCAUGAAAUAAUUGAGUUGCAAUAAUUGAAAAGAUUCCUUCGUAAAUUAAUAUAACAGCGGUAUAAUGGUGCUUUAAAAUUGCAAACAAAAUAAAUAUUGAUAAAAAUAACAUAAAAUUUGUAAAACCGACAUUAAAAUUUAAUUUAAUUUAAUAAUAGUUUAUUUAUUUAAGCAAGGAAAAAAUUAAUCAUCAAUUGAAAACAAAAAAUUAUAUUGAAAACAUUUAGAAUAAGAUUCAUUAAAUUGGUUUAACCAUAAAUUCUAUAUUCAUGCUAGGAUAUAUAUAAUUUUUUUUUCUAUCAUGUUAUUUGUUUACUAUACAAGUUAAUUAAAUAAAAUUAUUUUUCUUGAUGUGAAUCAAGACAAAACAAAAUAAAAAGACAUUCUUAUAUUACUAGACACAUAUCAAAUAUCAGUAAAUUUGGAUUUAAUUUCUAGUUUUAUACGUAUUUCAUGUACUUUUAAACUUUGCUUCUUACUUAUACUAAAAGAUCAUUUGCGGAUGUUGUUGAGAAGGUUUAGAAGAAUGUAAAUCACAUAUCUUACAAAUAUGAAAAAUUUUCAAAUUUUGAUUUUGAGAACAAGUUAAUUUCACAUAUAUCAUCAAAUGUAUUACAUAAACCUAAAAUUAUCAUUAUUCAAAAGUAGAAAUAAAAACAGUAAAUAUAUAAGGUGAUUAUUAUAAUGAGUUUUUAUUUUACAUUUGUAAGUUUUUAGUUGUUUCAAUAACUCUUAUAAUAUUUACAUUUUUAACAUUUCAUUUACAAGUCUUCUAUUUCAUUUACAUAAUUUAUAUGUUAUUUUACACUUAAUGUUGAUUUAUAAGUUUUAUGAUAUAUCUGUAAGUUUAUGUUUUGUUUACCAAUAAUACAUUAUUUUACCACUUCUAAAUUAAUUUACUUGUUUUACUUUCUAUUCACAAAUCUUAUGUUUUAUUUACUUAAUUUAUGUUUUUAAUUUACUCUUGAUGUUGAUUUAUAAGUUUCAUGUUACAUCGGUAGGUUUAUGUUUUAUUUACCAAUAAUACAUCAUUUUACCACUCAUAUAUUAAUUUACUUGUUUUAUAUUCUAUUUACAAGUCUUAUCCUUUACUUAUUUAAUUUAUGUUUUAUCUUACACUUAAUGUUAAUUUACAAAUUUUAUGUUCUAUUGAAAAGUUUUUGUUUUAUUUACCAAUGAUAAAUUAAUUUACUACUCAUAUAUUAAUUUACUUAAUUUAACUUUCAUUUAUAAGUCUUAUAUUCUAUUUACAUCAUUUACGUUUUAUUUUACACUUAAUGUUGAUUUACAAAUUUUAUAUUAUACUUAUAAGUUUUUGUUUUGUUUACCAAUAAUACAUCAAUUUACCAUUCUUAUGUUAAUUUACUUAUUUUACAUUCUAUUUAUAAGUCUUAUAUUCUAUUUCCACAAUUUAUGUUUUAUUUUUAUACUUUAUAUAUAUUGAUUUACAAGUUUUAUAUUACAUCUACAAAAUUUUUUGUUUACUGGUAAUAUACCAAUUUAAUAUUCAUAUGUUCAUUUACUUAUUUUAUCUUAUAUUUACUAAUUUUAUAUUCUAUUUACUCAAUUUAUGUUUUGUUUUGCAAAGACUUGAAAGUUCAUGGGCAGAAGUUGCCGGCCUAACUAAUGCAUGGGCUGCCAAUGUGCCCACAUUUGCUAAGUCACUGCUUCUAUAACUAGUCACUACUUACGUAACUUAAAGAGUAAAAGUAAAACACAUGGGGUCUCAUGAGUCAUAAUUUAUUGUUAUUUUUUGCAUUAUUUUCAAAAGGUAUAAUUACAUUGAAAACAAUAUUAGGCAUGUUGCUGAAAUUUCCCAUGAUUGAAGCAUCUAUAAAUGCAUGUUGUCCACUCAUCUCAAUGGCAGUGACCAAGAAGCCUAGAGAUCUUUUCUAGCCAUGACACUUCAACCACUGAUUUUUUAUGCUUCCCUCUUCAUCUUGUCCGCCCUCGUGCUGAAAGCCAUCAAACACUCACGGCGACUGCCACCGAGCCCGUGGGCCUUGCCGAUCGUCGGGCACCUCCAUCUCCUCGGCCCUUCCCUUCACCAUUCUUUUCACAAGCUUUCAACUCGCUAUGGCCCCUUGAUGUCCAUACGCAUAGGCUCUGUCCUAGGUGUUGUAACUUCUUCUCCUGAUGUAACCAAAGAGCUUCUCAAAACAAAUGAUGUUACUUUUGCCGCCCGGAACAGCUCUGCCGCCAUUGAAUGCCUUACAUAUAACUCUUCUUUUGCUUUUGCUCCCAACGGCCCAUAUUGGCAAUUCAUGAAAAAGCUGACCACAGUUGAGCUCUUGGGCAGCAGAACCCUUCUCCAGUUUCUUCCUAUUCGAACAAAUGAGUUGAACGAGCUUAUUCGGUUUCUAUUUGAGAAGUCUAAAUCUGGCGGAAGUGUUAAUAUUACAGAUGAAUUGUUGAAAUUUACAAACAAUAUAAUAUCUCAAAUGAUGUUGAGCAUUAGAUGUUCAGGAAAGGGGGGCCAGGCUGAAGAGUGUAGAACCCUGGCUCGUGAAGUGACUGAAAUUUUUGGCGAGUUUAAUAUCUCUGACAUUAUUUGGAUUUUCAAAAGCUUUGAUAUUCAGGGUUUUCGCAGGAGAUUCAAGGAUAUUCAUCGACGUUCGAUUCGUUGCUGGAGAAUAUCAUAACAAAUCGUGAAAAAUUAAGGAAGGAGAAGAAGGAAAGUGAAGAGAAAGUGAAGGAUUUGCUUGAUAUUUUGCUCGAUGUUCUGGAGAAUCAGAAUUCGGAGAUCAAGUUAACUAGAGAUCACAUCAAAGCCCUAUUUUUGGUAAGUCAUGUUUCACUUGCUUUAUUUAUUUAUUUACUGUUAUUAAUGUUUUUGUUACGGCUGCUAAGUUACAUUGUUUUUAUCUUACAACUUACUCAAAAUUAAUUUUCUGUAAGUUUUUAAUUGUUUGACAAGUAACAAUUGAGUGAUAUUAAAAAAAAUCAAUUUUAAGUUGAUGUAAAUUAUAGUAGAUGUAAGUUAGCAAGACUAUUAUUUAUUAUUAUUAUUUGAUAAAUAAGGUCUCAGUUCAUUUGUUUAGGAAUAUACCAUUUUUGUACUUUGGUUUCUUUUCUCUAUUUUUUGCGGUUCAAAAGUUACUGGAUUCAUAUUACCUAUAUUUAAUUUUACAAAGACGUCUCCCAAAAAAGAUGCUUCUUAAUCAAUGCAAAUUACCUAUAUUUGUCUCUUUUAACAUCAUCUUUAAAAAUGGUCAUUUAUAUUUAACUAAUAUAUGUUGUCAAUUGUACUCUGUCUUCAUCGGUGUGGCAUAAAUGCAUUAAUUAUUAAUGUGUCAUUAAUGCAAUUGACGGUGAAAUGGUGUAAUACUUUUAAAAUAAUUUGAGUAAUUAUUUGUAUUUUGGUGCUCCCAUUCCCAUGGACCUAUUUAGUAGCUACCACAUCUUAAGUGUGAAUAUGAUCAAAACCUAUUAGAGGUCUCAUACUCUCAUAUCUAAAUCAAAGGUUUGUUUAAUACUGAGGUGUCAAAAAGAAAUUAUAGUUGUGAAAUAAAAUUGACAUAAAUAUAAUUUUAAAUAUAUUUGUGACAAAACUAGUAAAUAUUUUAAGUUUCUUUUUUUUUAUAAAAUAAUCAGUGGAUAAAAUCACAUUAACAAAAAUUCACAGCUAUAAGUGUUUACCAUGAUUUUUAAGUUACAACUACUCAAUAAUAGUACCAAAUGGACCAUAAAUCAAAUCUUUAACAAAAGCAUCAACUUAAAAACUCUAAAAAAAAAAUAAAUAAUAAAUAAAUAAAUCUUAUCUUUAUAGCAAUGAAUCUCCUUGUUCUAACAGAUGUCUUGUUGCUUUUGAUUAAUAGGAAGCAACACAUAUUUUUUUUAGAAUAUUUUUACCAAACAUGUAGCAUCUUUGUUGCUAUCUGUCCAGGAUUUCCUCACAGCUGGCACAGACACUUCAUCCAUGACAGUGGAAUGGGCAUUAGCAGAGCUCAUAAACCAUCCAAUGGUGCUUCAGAAAGCACAGCAAGAGAUUGAUCAAGUUGUGGGAAGAAACAGGCUUGUUCAAGAAUCUGACUUUCCUCGUCUCCCCUAUAUUCAAGCCAUCAUUAAAGAAUCAUUUCGGAUUCAUCCACCAAUUCCAUUGAUUAGCAGGAAAGCAGUAGAAGACUGUAAAAUUGGCAACUACGUAAUUCCUAAAGACACUGUGUUGUUUGUGAACCUUUGGUCCAUGGGUAGGGACCCCAAAAUUUGGAAGAACCCAUUGGAAUUUCAGCCAGAACGAUUCUUAUCACAGUCAAAUAGUGAGAUUGAUGUUAGAGGAUUGCAUUACCAAUUGCUGCCAUUUGGAACUGGGAGAAGAGGCUGCCCUGGCCUUUCUUUAGCCAUGCAAGAGUUGCCAGCAACUCUAGCAGCUAUGAUUCAGUGCUUCAAUUUCAAAGUAACGAGUCCGGAUGGUGUGGUUGAUAUCGAUGGUGUGGUUGAUAUGUCUGAACGCCCAGGAUUAUCAUCUCCAAGAGCACAGGAUCUUGUGUGUGUGCCAGUUGCACGUUGUGCUCCUAGUAUCCUAAAUUAGGAUGUACGUUCAAAUUAAAGUGUCUUUAGCAAUGUUCAGUCAGGUGUGUGGUUAACUCAAAAGUAGCUGGGCAGUAAGGUGUCGCAGUUUGUACUUUGUAUCCCUCUCAUAAUAAUCAAUCAUUAUGACACCGAUGGAUCUUUGGUCCAAUGGGAGAGCCCUUGCACUUAAAAUAAUGAGUGUAAGGGUUCGAGCCUCCAUAAAAGUAUUUAUGAGACUUAUUUACAAUCCUUCCUCAAUUAUCACAUAAUUAAGUGGAGCCAGUCUAUUCCUCACGAAAUGUGAGUAGAGUGGACAGCCCUCGAAUAUUUGAGAGGGUUUGAAGAAUUUGGGCAGCGCUUCAGAGGAGUACAUGCCACGAUGAAGGUCCCAAUUGUAGAAUCUGUGUGUAAAUAUUAAUUGUAAUACCUACAGUCCUGUAUAAACAGUAUUCAAAAAAAAAAAAAAAAAACCUUUAUGACAUGUUCGGAGGAAAUUAAGUGGAAAUUUCAAAAACCCGUGCAAGUUAAAACUCCUUGUCAUAUACAUGCAUAUACGGGCAAAACUAUCUUUCCCCCGUUGUACCAAACAUUAUUUUUGUAUUUUCUUUAGCAGUUCCUGUAGUUUUCUAUAAAUAAUAAAAACUAUAAGUUUUAAAACUUUUAUACAAUAAGCCCUAAUUAAAAUAUAAUAAUUUCAAAAUUCUAAAAAGUUUAUUUGGCAUUUUGUUCAACAAUCCCUAUUGUUUUCUGUAAAUAAUAAAAACUAUAAGUUCUAAUAAUUUUAUGUAAUAAAUCCAAUUAAAAUAUAAUAAUUUUAAAAUCCUAAAAAAUUUAUUCUCUCAAUCAAUUUUAAAUUUAAGUUUCAUUUUUUAUAAUUUUAAAUUUUAGUAAUAGAAUAAAUAUUAUAUAAUUUAUUUGUUUUCAUAUUAAAUAAAUAAUUGAUCUGCUUCAUACGUGGGAUAAAGUAUAAGUAAUUUUACAUAAUCUCAAAUUUACAUAUAGAAAUUUAUUAUUUUGAAAAUAUUAUUUAUAAACUCUAUAAUGAAUUUAAAUAACUAUCCAAGCAUUUAUUUAAUAUUUAUUUAUUUUUCAUUUUAAUAUUGUCAAAAUUUAUAUAAAACCUUAUCCAAUUUUCUGUUACACUAAAUACAAAAUAGUAUUAUUAAAAUAUAAUUGGUAUUCUAAGUAAAUGGAAGUGGAGAGUAUUUUAACAAGUUAAAAUAAUCCAUCCAUAUUUUUAAUAGAUAAAUAUGUUCAUUUACUAAAUUACCUUUGAUAAUAAAAUAUUUAACGGACCAAUGUGUCAAAAUUUUAAAAUUUAAUCUUUUCUCAUUCUUUUAGUAAACAUAAGGGACCACAUCGUUAAUAACCAAAUGAUAACAUCCAAGCCGUUGGAAUAACUUUUGCAACUAUUAGGUUGGAUCCAAUGGUUGGAUCACAAAAAGACAAAAGAAUGGGUAUGAAACAUUAGUUGUAUUGUAGCUGGACCCAUACAUAUACUGAUUACAAAAUACAUAUGUAUAUAUAAAUGGGGAUUGUCACUUUCCCCCCUACAGUAAUUAACAUAUAUCAUUUACCCCCAUAUUAUUUUUAUAAUGGCAAAAAAUCUCAUGACAGCAUAAGUUUAUAAUAUUACUCUUAUUUUUAAUUACUCUUUUAUUUACAUUUAUUAUAAAUUAAAUAAAUUACAUGAAUAGAAAUAAAAUAAAAAAAUUAAGUAUUAAAAAUAAGAAAUAUAUAUUUUGAUAUGAGCAAAAAAAUUAAUAAUAAAUUUUUUUCUUGUAAUUAUUUAUUUUGAUAAUUUUUUUAUCAUUUUAUAAUAACUUUCUUAUAUAUUUAUUAUAAGAAAAUUUUCACAAAAUAAAUAAGUACGAGAAAAAAAAUUAAUUGUUAGUUUUUUUCUCAUAUCAAAACAUAUAUUUCUUGUUUUUAAUGCUUAAUUUUUUAUUUAGUUUCUAUUCAUGUGAUUUAUUUAAUUUAUACCACUUAGGGUACUAUUAAAUAUAAAUAAAUAAAUAUAAAUAAAAGAGUAGUUGAAAAUAAGGGUAAUAUUAUAAACUUAUGUUAUUAGGAGAGUUUUUGGCCAUUAUAAAAACAUCAGGGGAGGAAAUAGUAUAUAUUGAUUACUGUAGGGGGGAAAUUAGUAAUCUCCCUAUAUAUAAAUAAAGGUAAAAUUAUGGUACCACAGUGGUACCAUACCAUAGCUGGAUCUAGCUAUUGGAUCCAGCCCACAGUAAUCACUAAAAUUGGAUUCAAUAGCUAGAUCCAACUGUAGUAUGAUACUAUUGUGGUACCAUAGCUGACCGUAUAAAUAAAUAAAUUUCUGCAAAUUUGGUCAAAUAAAAAAUUAUUUUGUGGGCUGGUGCAUAGGAUCCCGUCAACCCAUUUUGAGUUUGCAAUUAGCAUAUAGCAAGGAGGCCCACCUAUUAAUUUCAAUUCAAUGCCACGCGCUAACCACGUCUUGGAAAUCUAACUUACAUGUUCUGCUUGAGUUUCUUAAGACAAUGUCAGCGAAUCAUCCGCCGUUAGAAGAGAGGAAAAAAAGUGCCUGUUCAGUUAUCCUUGAUUAAGGCUCCGUUUGGUACAGCUUAUUAAAUAGAGCUUAUAACAGUAGAGCUUAUAGCAGUAGAGUUUAUACCAAUAGAGCUUUUAGACAAAAAGUCAUUGGGUGUUUGGUUGUCAAUAAAAAAAGUACUUUAAACCAUUAAAAUGUGUGAUAUUUUUUAUAUUAUAUAUUUUUUGGAAAAGCUCUCUAACCUCUACUCCCAAAAGCUCAAAUUUUGGGCUUCUGCUAGUAGAGGUAAAUUAGCUUAUUUAAGCUAAAAAAACUCUACUAAAAAAAAACCAAACACCAUAAAAAAUUUUAAAAAGUGCUUAUGCGAUUAAAUAAGCACUUAUGGCUCUUAAAUAAGCCAUACCAAACAGGCACUAAGUUCUUCCUGACUAGGGAUGGCAAUGGGCACCGCCCGCAGCGGGUUUGCCAUUACCAAACUCAAACCCGCAUAAAAUUUAAAUUACCAAACCCACCCGCAACCCGCAGCGGGUUUUAAUUUUUUUAAAAAAACCCACCUGCAGCGGGUUUUAACAAUUACCAAACCCGCAAUGGUAUCCGACGGAUUUUUUGCGGGUUUCCGUAUUUAAAAUCAUAAAUGUUUAAUAUAUAAAUUUAUAAUAAUAACCUCAAAUUCCAUAUAACAUACUCAAUUUUAUAUUUAAAUAAUGUAAAUGAAAAAUUAAAAUUUCCACAUCAAUUCAACACAAAUUCUCAAAUUUAAGUAUAAAUUACACAAAUCCAUUUAAAAAACACAAACUAGUAUCUAAAAAUAAUAAUUACAUUUCAUAUUAUCAUUUAAAACAAGAUCAAAGAGAAUAUAUUUAUUUUAUUCACCACCAUAAGCACCCAUCUAACACAAUGCCUAAAAUAAUAAUUAAGAUUAAUAUUUUCAAAUACUAAUUCAAAGGGAAAUGCCUUUAGUUUUCUUUAGGUUAUGACUUUAGAAUAAGAGAUGAGCCAUAUACACACAUACACAACUUUGAGCCUUUUGCUAUUUGGUAAUUUGAUUAAUUACAUUAUUUUCUUUAUAUAUUUUUAUAUUUAAAUUAAAUUAAAAAUAUUUGAAAAAAUUAUUGCGGGUUUGGUGGAUAUCCAUGCGGGUAUCCACCGGAUAUAAGGUUAAUACCAAACCCACCCGCAUCCAUGUGCGGGUUUUCAUUUAUAAUACUAAACCCACCCGCAACGGGUAAAAUUACCCGCAAUGGACGGGUUUUGACGGGUGGGUUUGGACGAGUUUGCGGGUAUAAUUGCCAUCCCUAUUCCUGACGGUGGAAUUAAUGAUGAUUUGACAUGCACUUUUUUUUUCAAAGAUUUUUGUCAAGGUGAAUUUAUGGGGUCCGCUCAAAAUACAGCGACUGUAUCUCGUACAGCCGCUUUUUUUUUUAUUUUUUUAAUUCAACACGUAACCGGCCACCGGUACCAUCGUUUUAAUUGGUUAAAGAGACCAAAAUUAAAAGGUAACUAUCACACAGAUCCCUCAUUUUAGGUAAAUAUUAAGAAAAGCAAUUCAAAACUAUUAAACUAUCAAAGACCCCCUCAACUUUAAAAAAUGAAAAUACUUCUUUUUUCUUUUAAUUCAUGGAAAAUAUAGUUAAUAUAUUUAACCUAUGUACUAAUGAAAAAAUAUAAUUAAAUAAUUAGAAUACUAUAUUUAAAAAUAUAAUUAUAUUAUUUUUUUAAUAUUAUGUUAUAAAUUAAAUGAUAUUUUGCUUUAAAAAAUGUAACUUAUGUACUAAUGAGAAUAAUAUUUAAAUAUAAUAAAUUAAAAUAAAUUAUAUAUUAAUUAAGCUAUUUUUAUUAUUAUGUUAUAAAUGUAAUGAUAUUUUGCUUAAGAAACUAUCAAAACAAUUUUAUCAUCUUUAAUUGCAUUACAAUCUAAAUAGCUAAACACAUAAUGAAAUCAAUUUAUUUCUAAAUAUUUGGAAGAAAUCAAUCUUACUAUCUCAUGAUACACAUAUAGGGAUUUAAAUCUCUACCUACUAAAAUGAGGGUAAUGUUCAUCCAACUAUCGAAUUAUUAUGAUUCCAAACAUGUAAUUACCCCUCAAAUAUUGUUGUUAUUAUUAGAGGCUGACAUUAAUAUGUUUUAUAUAUACCACAAAUAUAAAGCAUCUAAUAUUUGAUAUUUUUAAAUAAAACUCACAAACAAUCUCUUAUGCAAAUUAAUUCAUACAAACUUAUGUAAAUUAAUUACUUUAUUUAAUCUUUUUUGCUAUAAUAACUUUUUUGUUAAACAUUAAUCAAAUUCAUAUUGGUACAUGACAUGGGUAAUUACAAUUUAAAUGCAACUAAUAUUGAAUAAUGUUAUAUUAUAUUGUACUUACAAUAUAAUAAUUUAAGCAUGGCAAUUAUAUUUCUAAAUUAAAUCAAAUUAUUUGAGUAAUACUGCACUCACUAGAUAGUUACAUGAUUUGCAAUUUUGUAUAUUGAAUGAUGCGCAAUUAUCACAAAAUUUGUUCAAUCUUACAUUUAUAUCCAUAUUUUUCUAAAAUUAAGUUAAUUUAUAUAACAACUAAAAAUAAUAAAAUUAUAUAAAACCAUAUAAAAAUAUAAAAAUUAUAUAUCCAUUUUCAUAUUAAGUAGUAUGUUUGACUAAAUUUACUUUUGAAACUCUCUAUUCUAUUGGAGAGAAAUAUAAUCUUAUGAAUCUAUUUUUAUUCAUGCAUGUUGAACUUGUUAUAAUAUUAUCUUAUGUGCAGUGAAAAAUGUUUUCGAAAUGUUUUCGUUAUACUUCUAACUAAAUUUUAUAUAUAUAAUUUUAUUCUAGUGGUAAAAGGAAUUGAAUUUGAAUAUGAUUUUUUUUCAAUAUAGCUUAAUAACAACUAAAUUUGCGCCCAUAGAUUCAAACCUCAACUGUUUUGUUUUGAACUCAAAUGAUUUACAACUAAAUUAACUGAUAGCCAUAAUUUGAUUAUUAAUAUAUUUACAUAGUAGUGUAUCUCAUCUAUAUUAAAUUAUUAAUAUAGUUGUAAAUAAUUAAUUUUAUAUCAACAAAAUAUAUACAUAUAUAUACAUAAUGUAAAAUUUUCACAUAAAAAAGUUUUAUCUUGGCAGGUAAAAAUGAAAAUAUUAUUUACCAAAUUACAAAAAUGAAUUUUGAGAUUUUGAAUGGUUACAACAAAUCUAUCUAUGGAAGUUUUACUAUUCAUCAAACUUUUAUUAUCUUUUUUAUUAAUUUGAAAACUUUCAUAUUUUUUUUCCAAUUUCUACUGAUAAUAUAAAUACUCACAUUAUGACAUUUCUUUGGAAACCCUAGCUGCUCUCCUUAAACCAUCAAAGACGAUCACUCACGUCAAACCCUCACAAGCCAACAAGCGAGCAGUUGCCACCGUCUUCAUUCCUACGCCCAUUACGGUCCUAUGUAUCAGCCACUAGCUGUUUCCGUAUCUCACUUUCUCUGCACGCAAAUCCUAGACCUGCGAGCUAAAUCAAGUGGAGGUCAAUCAAAGGCUGUCGUUGACCGUUUGAAAGAGCCAUCAUCUCUUGCACUACCAAAGCACGAAGAAGGUUGGAGAUUCAAUUUACUGAAGCUGAUCGGGUUAUACCUUAUAAUUGAAAGAAAAAAGCAUAAAUUGUUCAAAGCCAAACACCCAAACCCAAAUCCGAUCCCUAAAUUCUCAAUUUUCUAAAGCCACAAAACAGAAUAGACCCUAACAUUUUUAACACAGCCACAGCCUAACCCAUUCAUCUAGGUUCCUUCUCUCUCAAAUUUGAAGCUGCCGGCUGCCGCCACACCCAUCACAACAAAGCCGCUGACGCCCGACUGACUCACAUGCUUACAAUAUAAAUUUGCAUUUGACUCGGAUGCGCCCAAGGAAUUUACAGCCGAGCAGGUGCAGUUUUAUUUCUUUACUUAUAGGUGUAAAAAUAAGAAUUUUAUUAUUUGAAAUUGUUUUACUCUCACUAACCAGAGUUAAAAAUAUGGGCAGGCAUUGCAACAAGAUGAGGAGAUAUGAAAAGUCCAGAAAGAAAACAAAGCCAGAUAGGAAAACUUUUAUUUAUUUGUUUUCUGCUACAUAUGUAAAUGCAAAAUAAGUUAUCCGUUUUUUAGAAUGUGAAUGUAGCAGAGUUUGAUAAUUGAUUUUAUUUUUAAAAAUUUUAAUUGUGCAAAGUUCGUGUAUUGUGUAGCCAACACUAUGCAAAGGGUAAAAGUUUAGGUCAGUAGAUGAAUUGUGUUUAUACAUAUAUAUAGCACCAAAUAAUAUAAUACAACAUAUGCGGGCCGAUGUAAAUUUGAGCCAUGAACUCUUUUUUCCAGGCUUUGGUAUGGAGCCAAGUGAGUGAUAUUUUGUAUAAUCUAUUUAAUUCUUUUUGGUGGAGCCAAGUAUUCAUAGCUGAUAUUGGAAUGGAAUUUGCCUGAAUUUUUUGCAUCUUAACAUUUGGAUUGAGAAUGAACUUUUGAAAACUUGUUAGUUUAUAAUUAUGAAUCUCGCUUCUUUUUUCUCCAAUGCAAAGUUGUGUUAGUUUAGUAUUGUGGUUUUAAAUCCUUUUUUACAAGAUAAUUGUUAAAUAUAUGUUUUUGUUCUAAAAGAUUUAUUUACUAAAUCUUGUUAUGUAUUUUUUGACAGAAUUCUUUGUGAGGAAAUGGAACGUCAGAGGCUAUGGGCUCAAAAUAGAACACCACUACCUUCAAAAGUAAGUGAAGGUCAAAAGCAGGUGAAGGCAUCUAAGAUGUAUCCAAAAUCGAGCCAGUAAAAGAGUCUUUAGGUUUGAAGCUGUUUUCUUUAGUAUUGUUUUCUUUAUUGUUGUAAUUUAUAAUUGAAUAUUUUGAAUUUGGUGUUUUUGUAACCUGAAUAUUUCAUCAUUGUUUAUACUCUUUUUAUGAACUCUGCAAAGGCCAUUGUGUCUACCCUAGUUGAUGUUGGGACCCAAGAUUUUAUUGAGGGAAGAAUAUUUGUAUAUACCUUUUAAUUUCCUAUAUUGCCUUGAUUUCAUUGAUUUCUUUGAAUUGAGCUACUUAUUGUCUUUGUUUCUAAUAUUUUAGUCUUGCAAUUCUAUUGAUCAUUAAAACUGACAUCCUUUAUUGUUUUGUUUGUCUCGUCUUGUGCUUAGACUGGUCUCUUGAAUUGUUAAGGUAACAUUAUAUAGUUUUUCUCUUAAAAGUUUCCAUUUUAAAAAUAUUUAGUUAUUUGCAUUCCGUCUUUCUUUCUAAUUGCAGCUUCCAUUUUUGAUUGAUUGAUUGGCUUUUGGAGGUGAAUCAAAUUGUGAUUGUAUGCAUGUGUUCUUGAUAGAGCAAGCUCUUCCAAAAGUGAUUAUUUGAGUGUUAUAAUGAGAUGACGAUAGCAAGUUUGUUCUUUCUAUCUAAUUCUUUUUUGAGUUAUAUAAUUUUUUGAAUCCAUAAUAUAGGUUAUAGUUUUAAUAUGUAAUAUUAUUGAGUUGACAAGAUGUCAUAUUAUGGGUUGAAGAACUAUUGUUAAAGCUUCAAGUUUAAAAUAAAGAAACACUUAUAGAUCUAAUUUUUGAUCAUUGAGUGGAAUAUUUCAUUUCUCCAUUUAUUCUUGUUUAUUGUGGAUGUAUUUAUCUUUCAAAGAUCACUUUUUUGUUAAAUGAAAAUUGACAUAAAUGUGAUCGAGAUUGAUUUUUAUAAUCUGAAUAUUGCUGCUAAAAAAUAACAAGCAUGGUGGUCGAGAUUAAUUUUUAUAUUCUAAAUAUUGCUAUUAAAAAAAUUUCUUUAAAAAAUUGUGGUUAAACAUUAGUGUAUAUAGGUUUGUAUAUAUUUUGUAUUAAAGUUUUUCUACUGAAAACGAAGUUUAUUUGAUCCUACUCAAAAAAUUUAGGACAUGCAUUUGAAAUUUUGAAUAUUGUUUAUUGCUUCGCAGAAUUAUUUUCUAAUAUCAUUUGGUUUUCUUUUUUACAUGCAGAGACCCCUAUGAUCUAACAGCAUCUGAAAUCUAGCUUUUGAAAAUUGUAAAUUGAUUUAGUUUUGUGUUGGUUUUAAUUGAUGCUAAAAGUUUUUAAAAUUAUUUUCCCACAAGCUUGUGAAAAGUUCUCAUAUACCUAUUUGGAUGAAUAGAAUUUUUUAUUUGAUUAAUAUUUUUAUGCACUGGAUAAAUUAAUAGGGCAUUGUAAUUUCAUUUACAAACAAAUGCCAACAAACCAUUUAAAAAAUAAUAAAAAUACGCCAAAAUUUUAAUCUUAUGUUAUAACUACAGGGUUAUAUUUUUUUAAUGCCAUAUUAGUCAUGAUAAAAAUUGAAGAACUCUUUUAGUUGAGUCCUAAAUAAUUGUAUUUCUAGUUAAGUCCUAAAAAUUGAAUAACUUAUUUUGGUAAAUGAAAAAUUAUAGGGAUAUUUAAACGAGAAUGAUACUCAAUUAAAAAAAAUAAUGUUAAAAAUUAUAAGUUUUUGAAUGGACUAAUGCUAUAUAGUUGAGUAAUGAACAAGAAUUGGCUACCAUCUAAUUCGGUUGUAAAUGAACUUAAUUUUUGUUUAAUUCAUCCUCCAAUUGAGCAAUUCUCUUUAACUUCUUUUAAUCUAUAAAUUGAGUUCUUAUUCUACAGGUAUUCUAUGAUUUCUCCAUCUUCAAAGAGCAAGCAAGCAUUGAAAAGUUGAAAUGAGAGAUUUUUGUGUAUUAUUUUUUACUUUUUAGUAUAUCUAAAGGUUCAAUUGUACUCUUGGAAUUUGAGUGAAAUUAUUAAUGUGAAACUCCAUUAUUAAGUGCAGACCAAAAUCAUAUAAGUGAAUGUUGUUUCUUAUAUCAUAGUGUUAUGUUGUAACACCAUAUUAGUUGGAAUAUCCAUCCAAAUAUAUUAAGCUUUUAAAAAUAAUUUUAGCUACUAAGAUCAUUUUUGUUUAAGUCGUGAAAAAUGAUUAACUUAUUUUGUUUGUACAAGGGAUAAUAAAACUUAUGAUCAUAUCUCCUGAAGUAAUGAAUAUACUUUCUUGAUUGCAUUGAUUUUUAUUUUUUUAUUUUACAAAAUAUUGUUGAAUUUGAAUUGCGUUUACUGUGUUUAAAGCAUUAAUUAAAGAUAAAUAAAUUGUGGCUUAGUAGAAUUGGAUCAAUGUAAUACAAAUUUACAAAAUUUUCAAUUUUAAUAUAAAAGUUAAUUUUCACAGUUCAUGGGAUAAUCAUAAAAUAAAUAAACAAAUUUUGGUAUAGUAAUAAAUAUGAAAUGGUAUGGUAUAAAGUGUUGCUACUAUAGUAAUAAAUGUUCAUAACCAUAUUAGUCAUAAUAAACUCUUAAAAAUUAUUUUAGUUAAGUCUUGAAAAUUUAAGAACUUAUUUUAUAAAUUAAAAAUUAUAUCCAUACUUAAAAACAAAAAAGAAGGAUACUCAUUAUUAAAAAAAAUUUGUUAACAAAUCUCAUGGGGCAAGAUAGUAAUAAUAAUAACUGUACCGUACAUCCGCCUUGGCCGUACAGCAGUUGAUCAUCAUGGGGCAAGAUAGUAAUAAUAAUAAUUUUAGUAAGAGUAAAAAAAAUAAUAAUAGUGAUAAUAAUACAAGUAUAGUAUGUUAAUAUUUAUAAUUAAUAGCUUAAAUUUUUGGUUGAAGUAAUAAGAAAUUAAGAAAAAUAAUUUGAAAAGAAAACAUAGUGGUAAAAAUUUAAUUGAAUAAAAAAAUCUUAAUUCUUGAUUUAUUUUAGUUUAAAGAUAAAUAAAUAUAAUUAAUUGAAUUAUAAAAUGGGCAUAACAUUUAUAAAGAUCAAAAGUUAAGUAUAAAUAAUUUCAAGUUCAAGAAAUCUCCUGAAGUCAAUUGAUUCCAAAAAAGAAAAAAAAUUCAACACAAAUAGAUUAAGAAAGUUUCAAUUUUUGUUAGCUUAAAUAUUUUUUAUAACUUAUGCCGUCAUAAUUUUUAAAAAUAAUUUUUUGGAGAAGCAUAGCAAUUCCAUGCGCUCUUACAUGUUAUUUUUUAUUUACUGUCGAAGUUUUGAAAAAUUAAAGAAAUUAUUUUAAAAAGUAAAGAGAGAGAUGAAAAUAAAUGCAUUAAUUUAUUUUAACAAUAACUAAAAAUAAUCAACUAAAAUGAUAAAAUGAGAAUAAAUAUGUAUAGAGACUAAAAGCUCAAGUAUAUAUACAAUCAAGUUCAAGAGAUCUCAUGAUAUAUAUAAAAGGGAAUUAGGUUAAGGACCCAAAAUAUUGGAAAAGAUUAAGUGUUACAAUAAAAUUUUUUCAGUAUUAUAUGGUAAGUUGAUAUUUUAUAAAAUAGUAAGGGUUCAAACAUAAUUCAACUUAUUAAAAUUAUUGUUUCCGGUAAUACAAGUAAUUUUGAUAUUUAACAUAAAUAACUGAAAUUUCACCAAAUUAAUUGGAAUAUUGAACACAAAAUUAGUGAAAUAAUAAUUGAAACAUAUAAAAGUAAAUAUGAGAAAAUAUAACCCAAAUUAGGAACCUACUUAACCAAAAAUAAAAUUAUGAAAAAUAAAUUCGGUACUUAACCCAAAUAAUUGGAAUUUGUCCAAGUUAAUAGAAAUAUUCAACACAAAACUAGAGGAAUAAUUAGAUGAAACAUUUGAACCAAUAAACGAGAAAAUCUAACGAAAAUUAGGAACUUAUCCAACGGGAAAUGAAAAUUACUGGGAAUCUAAUCCAAAAUAUUGGUAUUGAACGAAAGUAGGAAUACCUAACAUAAAACUAAUGGACUAAUAAUUUAAAACAUAUGAACCUAAAUAUGAAAAAUCUUAACCAAAAUUGGGAACUAAUUUAACCAAAAAAAAAUUGGUAUUUAACCCAAAUAAAUGAAAUCUUACCAAGUUAAUUGGAAUGUUGAACACAAAACUGGUGAAAUUAUAAUUGAAACAUAUAACCCCACAAGGGAGAAAAUAAAACCAAAAUUAGGGACUUAUUUAACCAAAAAUAAAAUUACAAAAAAUAAAUUCGGUACUUAACCUAAAUAAUUGGAAUCUGUCCAAGUUAAUGGGAAUAUUCAAUGCAAAACUAGAUGAAUAAUUAGAUGAAACAUUUGAACGAAUAAGCGAGAAAAUCUAACGAAAAUUAGGAACUCAUCAAACGGGAAAUGAAAAUUACUUGGAAUCUAACCCAAAAUAUUGGUAUUUAACGAACUUAAUAGGAAUACCUAACACAAAACUAGUGGACUAAUAAUUUGAAACAGAUGAACCUAAAUAUGAAAAAACUUAACCAAAAUUGGGAACUAAUUUAACAAAAAAAAUUAUUUCGGUAUUUAACCCAAAUAAAUGAAAUCUUAUCAAAUUAAUUGGAAUAUUGAACACAAAACUAGUGGAAUAAUAAUUGAAACGUAUAAACCCACAAGGAAGAAAGUAUAACCAAAAUUCGAACCUACUUAACCAAAAAUAAAAUUACGAAAAAUAAAUUCGGUACUUAACCCAAAUAAUUGGAAUAUGUCCAAGUUAAUGAGAAUAUUCAACGCAAAACUAGAGGAAUAAUUAGAUGAAACAUUUGAACCAAUAAACGAGAAAAUCUAACAAAAAUUAGGAGCUCAUCUAACGGAAAAUGAAAAUUACUUGGAAUCUAACCUAAAAUAUUGGUAUUAAACGAAUUUAGAGGAAAUACCUAACACAAAACUAGUGGACUAAUAAUUUGAAACAUUUGAACCUAAAUACGAAAAAGCUUAACCAAAAUUGGGAACUAAUUUAACAAAAAAAAUUAUUUCGGUAUUUAACCCAAAUAAAUGAAAUCUUAUCAAAUUAAUUGGAAUAUUGAACAAUGAAAAAUAAAUUCGGUACUUAACUCAAAUAAUUGGAAUCUAUCCAAGUUAAUGGGAAUAUUCAACGCAAAACUAGAGGAAUAAUUACAUGAAACAUUUGAACCAAUAAGCGAGAAAAUCUAAUGAAAAUUAGGAACUCAUCCAAUGGGAAAUGAAAAUUACUUGGAAUCUAACCCAAAAUAUUGGUAUUAAACUAACUUAGUAGGAAUACCUAACACAAAACUAGUGGACUAAUAAUUUGAAAAAUAUGAACCUAAAUAUGAAAAAGCUUAACCAAAAUUGGGAACUUGUUUAACAAAAAAAAAUUAUUUCGGUAUUUAACCCAAAUAAAUGAAAUCUUACCAAGCGAAUUGGAAUAUUGAACGUAAAAUUUAUGAAAUAAUAGUUGAAACGUAGAAACCAAAAAGGGAGAAAGCGUAACCAAAUUUAAGAACUAAUUCAACGAGAAAUGAAUUUAUUUGGAAUCUAACCUAAAAAAUUUGUAUUUAACGAAUUUAGUAGGAAUAUUAUACAUAAAACUAGUGGAUUGAGAAGUGGAAACAAAUAAACCAAUUAUUGAGAAAGUUUAACGAAAAUUAGGGACAUGUGAAAUUAAUUUGAAACGUCCACCUAAUAUAUUGAUAUUUAACCAAAAACACUGGAACAUGAUUAUUUUACUCUUUUUUUAACUUUCUUUUAAAUUAAAAAUAUUUUUCUCACUCAAAUCUUUUUAAUAUUAAUUGUUUAUAAAUUUUCUUAUUUUUUCACAUUAAAAAUAAUUUUUUUACAAAUUAUUAGAUGAACAACCAGUAAAAUACCGAUUGUUCAAUUUUUUUUUCACUGUUGAAGCAGCUGUAUUACAUACAGUGCGGUACUAUAUAUGAUGACUCGAAUUUAUGAGAGAGUACUCUCAUUUUAAGAUUUUCUCGUGGUCGAAUUUUCUCUUGGUUAAAUUUAUUUAAAUGAUUGAUAAUUAAUAAAUUAAAAUUUAAUUUUAUAAUAUUAAAAAAUAAGUGAUAUAAAACUUUAAAAAAUUUAAGAUAACUCAAUUUAUAAGAAGAGGAUCUUCAUUUUUAAAUUAAAAGGUACUUUUUUUUUUGUCUAAGAAUAUUGUUAAACAUCUAAAAUUUUUUAUCUCAAAUUUUUUUAAAUGAUAUAAUAUUCAUCAAUUGAUUAGUGAAAUAAUAAAAAAACAAAGGAAUCCCUCUUUUAUACUGCCAUGAUAAUUCAGCUCAUACUGCCGUAAUUGCUCUUUAUUAGAGUUUAAAGAUAAGAUCUUUACCACAGCAAAUCUUGGAUCCAAAUGUAAAUGUGCAGAAUAAAAGGCAAAUGUUCAGAACAACUGGACCACUAUUUAGAAAAAGUAUCAAACUAUUUGGGUAUUACUGUAAACAACUUCUGUUUAUAGGCCAAAAUGUAAUUAUUGAAAUAUUUAGCCUUGGCUAAUUUUUUAGUCAACGGAGAUACUUUCUAAUUUCCAUAGAAAAAAAUAAUAAUUAAUAUAAUAAAGAUUAAAGAAAACAAAAAACAUGAAGAUGAAGAAAAACCAAUUAUUCAUCACAAGAUCUCUUUUAUAGGCAACAAUUUCACACAUUUUGUGCAAAGCAGGAACGAUAUCCACUAUUCAUUUUUAUCUUUCACAUUAGAUUGAAACAAAUAGGCCAAUUGAUUAUUGGGGGAUUUAACUUAUCCUCCUACCGCACUUCAUUGAAUCAUUUAUUAUCAUUUUCAUAUCGUACUCGUACUCAAAAUCCUUCACCACGAGUUUUGUUUCACCUCACUUAACUUCUUUUUUUGAAACAUCCAAAUACCUGAAGAAAAACAAGUAAUUUUUCUUAACAACUGUCUUUAGAGUAUCUCCAAAAAGCUCUAUAAAUUUUACUCUUCAAAUAUUCAUUUGCUUACCUAUGUGGCAAAUAGACGAGUGAAAAAAGAUAUUGAUCUCCAAAAGACUCUUUAAAUAUAAAUGAGUUAAUAUUAUUUUAAUUAAAUAACUAUUUUUUUAAAGAAAAAGUCAAUAUUAAUUAAAGAACCUUUCUCUUUUUCUUCAACAAAAAGUAAUAAAAUAUAAUUGUUGGGAUAAUAUGCUCUUUAAAAGCAUAUGUGUUUAUUUAAUUGUAACAAACAAUUUUUCUGAUUAAUAAAAUAAAUGAGAUAUUUUAUUCAAAUAUCUUAAUUGCAUUUAUAUUUGUAUUAAAGUCCAUUUAAUCAUAUUAUAUGUAUUUAUGUGAUCACCAUGUGGAUUCACAGAAGACAUAAAUACAAGUUAUCUUAUGAUUAAAUAAAUUUAGUUCGCAGUUGAUAAAUAAAGUUGGGCACUUUAUUUAGGUAUAGACUGUAAUAAAUUCAUUGAAUGAUUUGUCUUAAUCAUGUAUGAAUUUAUUGAUGUAGUACGACUACAUUGAACAAGAUCACAUAUGAGAUUUAAUUAACUUUGUAAUAACUAUCAGACUUAUUAAAUCUCAUAGGCGUUGAUUUUACUGUAAUCUUAAUCUUGAGUUAAUUAUGAUUUCAUGAUUGUAAUCGUUAUUCCAUUUGAGUUACCAAUGGGCACGACACAGCCUUGUGGUCAAGAUUACCCGGUAUCUUGGUGGAAGCAAUUAUGAGUAUUGGAGUUAUGGAUUAACAAUAAAGAAUUUGUACAACACAUCUCUUGAUAGGUUUUCGGUACUUGAUCAUAAAAUUCUCUGGCCAGAGUGUAUCAACAUAUUUAGUAUGUUGAAAAUGAUCAUUAGAGAAAACCAAUAAGGAUCAAGGAAUAAGAUGUUAUUAAAUUGAUUGGACAGUUGAGAUAUCAAUUUAAUUAACGAUGUGGUACAAAGGAUUGUGCAGUAAAGAAAUCAAUGUGGCUUGGGACGAAUUAUUAUUCGAGCAUACAAUUAUGGAAGUCAGUUCCAAUCUUUUAGUGGAGUAGAUUUGGAAUUAAAUAAUUGGGCUAGUUUAAUUACAGGCCUAAUUAUUGUAGCCACUAUUGUAUGUUCCCAAAUGAUCCCCGGGUUAGCUCAUUUAAUUGACUGCACCACUACUGGACUAAUAAGUAAGAUAACUAGCUAUUUGGGUCAAAAGCCUAAAUAUAUCAUUUAGUGAGAGGCUCCAUUUAAUUAGCUUUUGUAUAAGGGGCCUUAUGUUAUUUUACAAGGUGGGUCUCUUAUUGAAAAAGAAAAUAACGUGAGUUUUAUUUAGAGCAUUAUUUGGAGCCUAGGGUUUUCACUAAAGGGUGAUAUAAAAGGCUUAUUUUUCCCUAAAGAAAAAUGGAGAAGCCACUUUAUACAGAUCAGAGAAAAAUCUUUUUCUCUCUAUUGUUGAGAGAAAAAUUUUCUCGUGCUAGUUGCUUUGGUAGUGAUAAAGGCACCUACACGUCAAGUGCAGAUCGAACCUGAGUCAUAACCUGGAAGAUCAUUGGUGACAGUUCGUGAUCUAACAAGCGUGGUGGUGACAGAUCAUGAUCUAAUAGGAGUGGUGGUGGCAGAUCGUGAUCUAGGAGCCUAAAACACUUCAGCGGAAAAAGCCAACUCGGAUUUUCAAGGUACGAUUUCUAGAAUACAAAUUCUUAUAUAUUAUAUGAGAGCGAUCUUCAAAAGGUUUUAUAAAAAUUUAAAAACCUAAUUUUUCCCCAACAAUAAAUUGAAGAGGGAGAAAGUAACUCUUCAAAUUUAAAGAGAAAUGAUCAUUUCUUAUUUGAAGAAUCUUAAUUGGAGUGUCUUUUGGAGCCUUAAAUAUUGAUGUGGCUCUUCAAAUAAAUAAUAAAAUCUUAUUUGAAGAAUCUUUUGGUGAUGCUCUUAGAAUUGAAAACUAAGGCUUAUAUAUAUAGGAAGAUUAAUUAAUUAAUUAAUUUACUGAAGAGUAGCACCAGCUGCGUGCGAUAGCGAUGGACGUGUUAAAGAAUUAAUAUUUCAGUCUCUUGGGGUAUGGUUCCUCUUCCUCAUAUUUGUUACAGUUGAAACUUGCGCUUGGAUCUUCUACUGAAUCUGGGCCGUACAAUAAAUGGAUCCCACAUUUUUUCACCCUGGAACACUUCAAACGUUUAGAAUCAUCAGUUUGGUCAAAAUAGAACUGGACUGCAGUGCAUCAGGAACACCAUUGUACAAGUUUCAAUUGUACAAUAAAAUCUUGAUGAUUGAAGAAAUAGUAACCCAAAAGUAAGUGAUCUGACUCCACGUACCAAAUCAACCCCAGAAAUAUGCGGAUGACAUGCGGAUCACAAUCCUUGGGUUUGACUUCGAAUUCACCAAAGAGUCCAAACAAGCUGCCACAAUCUACAUGAUGGUCACCAAAUGAUACAACAAUGCUAAAAGCAAAGCCGAGUAUUGAUCUGUUUUUAUUACUGAUCUCCAAAGUUAUAGAAGUAGAAGAUGUAGGAAAAAUAAAACAAUGAGAUAACAAAUUAACACAGUAAGGAAGAACAAAUGAAGAACUGGAAAACCAGAAGGGAAAAGAAAACCGAAACAGAAACUAAAACCCGAGGCAUGUAGCUCAGUUUCCUUAAAACAAAUUUACCACCUACUGAAGUGCUUUAGGUCUGUUGGUAACUGCUUCCCAGGAUACAACGAGAUGAAUUUUCCGUCAAGCACAGAAAGAUAAUUCUGGCGAACCACAACAACGGUAAACUCGAUAAGAAACAAGACGGAAGAAGAAAAAAAAAUUGCAAGUGCUCUGUGUGUUGGUUUCAGUGUGUAUAAAAACAGAAGAAAAAUGCCUUUUUAUACUCAUGUGAGGAUGUAACAGUAACAUUGUAUUGAAUUUUCGAAUUCAAUAUAUGCCAUUAAAUAGUUAUAACAGCCAAUUCAAUUCAUUCAAUUGAUUUCAAAAUUGAAUUCAAAAACGUGAAUUGUAUAACAGCUAAAAAAUAAUUGUUGUGAAGCUGUUACAAAUCCUUUGAAUUCAAAACGUGAAACUGUUACAAUAAAAAAUUUAAAAAGAAAUUCAAAAUGUGCCAUGCAAGCUUGGAUGAUUUUGGGCUGACAUUCGUGUACGCAGGACGCGCGGGGGCACAUGAGUUCAACUAAAUCGGUCUUGGAUUUGCACCCCCCCUGCGCACGCACGUGUGAAGAGAGCCUUUAUCCUUAUAAUUCUUACUCAUGCAUGGUUAAGUGUUUAUAUAUAAACACUAAUCCCUUGGCUUCUUUUUCCCAUGUAAGAUAAGCCUCAUUUCCUUUCAAAUUUCCAACUUCAAUGGUGAACUUUGAGAGACAAUUUCUCAUUCACCCAAGUACCAUUUUAAGAAAAUAAAAUUACACUUUUGAAGUAUUAACGGAAUAGAAUCCGAAUCUCACAAGAUUUAUCACUUUCGUUAAGUGGGACCCACUCAAAAUGUGCCCUCAAAAUAGCAUAUAAAUAUGCUAUUUUUUCAACAAUCCCCCACACGAAUGAAAAUUGGCAGUAAAACAGAAAAACUGCUAUAUUUUUUACUUUAAAACCAUUUUUGACCUUAAUGAUCGAGUUUAUUGGAUCGAUACCUAGCACAGGAUAGUUAGGUGUUAUCCUUUGAACCUUCCCUUAUAAUAGUAUAUUUACUUUACUAGUUGAUCAAUAGAUGCGAUGUCUUUGAACUGUUCUGCCGUUAGUGUAAACGAUCAUAUACUACACAUAGGUAUUUCUCCUAACACUGUUGAGUUCUCAUGGUUAUGCUCAUUUUGGCCUUGAACAUCUACCUGGUUCUGCAAGAGUUUCUAAGAGCUGAACCCUAACAGCUCCCUUUGAAGCGGCCCCACUUCUCUCUCACAUAGGUGAUAUCUUAAUUAAGAGUAACCCGCAUUACUCCGCUCGAAUUUUUAAUGCAUAAAAAUCAUUAAGAGCCUAGCUCAACCUUAUUCCCCACGGGCAUUACUGUUUCAUCAUAGGAAUGGUCAAUGAGGUAAUCCUCUCAAGAGAAUGACCUUCACAGUGAUCCAACUUUAGUCUUUAACAAAUAGGUUAUGCUAUUGAACCUAGAUCUUGGGAUCUCCAGUCAACUAGGUUGGGUUUUCCUUCGUUAUUGACUAAUCAUUCUAUGGGUUUUAAUCUCAUUCCCCUCGAUGAUUUUUCUACUAGCUCUCUAUUUAAUCCUUUAGUUAGCGGAUCCGCAAUGUUAUCCUUUGACCUCACAUAGUCAAUAGAAAUAACUCCAGUAGAAAUAAGUUGUCUAAUGGUAUUAUGUCUAUGACGUAUGUGUCUAGACUUACCAUUAUACAUAUUACUUUGUGCCCUACCGAUAGCUGAUUGACUAUUGCAAUGUAUACAAAUUGUAGGCACAAGCUUUGGCCACUUUGGAAUACCUUCUAAAAAAUUACGUAGUCAUUCUGCUCCUUCACCACAUUUAUCUAAUACAAUGAAUUCAGAUUCCAUUGUAGAUCUGGCAAUUACUGUCUGUUUAGAAGAUCUCCAUGAUACAGUUGCACCUGCUAGUGUAAACACAUAGCCACUAGUGGAUUUUGAAUCUUUUACAUUAGAUAUCUAGUUAGCAGCACUAAAUCCAGUCCAUAAUUACGAGUGUAUCGAAGUUACCUAAGUACUCUUACGAUAGCUUUCUAGUGAUCAGUUCCUGGAUUACUCGUAUAUCUGCUAAAUUUACUUACUGUAUAGGCUAGAUCUGGUCUAGUAAAAUUUGUUAAGUACACCAGACUGCCUAUUAUUCUAGCGUAUUCUACCUGAGAAAUACCCCUCUCCUCUGUUUUUCGAUAAAUGUAUACUCGUAUCUAAUGGAGUUUUAGACACGGUAUUAUCAUCGUUAUUAAAUUUCCUAAGAAUUUUAUAUACAUAAUGAGUUUAACUUAGAAUAAGUCCAUUAGAAGCCCUUGAGAUUUUAAUCCCCAAAAUGACAUCCACAAGACCCAUGUCUUUCAUGUCACAUUUAGACUUCAAUAUAUUCUCGGUAGAUUUAAUCAUAUCAUCAUCACUCCCAACAAUGAGCAUGUCAUCAACAUAUAAAUAUAAAAUGAUAUAGCAAUUUUAUGUUUCUUUGACAUAAACACAUUUGUCACACUUGUUGAUCUUAAAGCCACUUGUAAUCAUCGUAUGAUCAAAUUUUCAUGCCACUAUUUUGGUGCUUGUUUCAAGCCAUAUAAUGACUUCACCAAUUUACACACUUUCUUUUCUUGUCCUGGAGCUAUAAAACCUUCAGGCUGCUCCAUAUAAAUUUCUUCAUCUAAAUCUCCAUUUAGAAAAGCCAUCUUUACAUCCAUUUGAUGUAUUUCAAGAUUGCAUAAACCUGCAAUUGCUAUUAUCAUCCUAAUGAAAUUUAUUCUCGUGACUGGAGAAUAAGUAUCAAAGUAAUCAAGGCCUUCUCGUUGCCUAUAACCUUUAAUUACAAGCCUAGCCUUGUACUUAUCGAUUGAUCCAUCGGCUUUCAUUUUCCUUUUGAAAAUCCACUUAUACCCCAAAGGUUUACAUCCUGGAGGAAGAUCUACUAGCUCCCAGGUAUGAUUUUGUAAAAUGGAUUUAACUUCACUGUUAAUGGCUUCUUUCCAUAAAGCGCCUUCAGCUGAAGUUACAACUUCUUUGAAGCUUUGAAGUUCACUUUCUAGCAAAUACGUCAGAAAGUCUGGACCAAAUGACUUUUCUAUUCUAGCUCUUUAGCUACGUCUGACCUCAAUUUCUUGUUCUUCUUCUUUUGGUGCUUCAUCAUUUUCUUCAUUUUCAAUUGUUGUUUCAUGAAAUUGUCGUAGUUCUCUCGAUUCCACUCUAGAAUUGCAAGGAAAGACAUGUUCGAAAAACGAUGCAUUUCUUGAUUCUAUAAUCGUAUUUUUGUGGACAUCUAGAACUUUAGACUCAUGCACCAGAAAUCGAUAAGCACUACUGUUUUGUGUAUAACCAAUGAAAAUGCAGUUAACAGUUUUUGGUCCUAUUUUCACUUUUUUAUUUGAAGGAACCACUACUUUAGCAAGACACCCCCACACUCAUAAGAAUUUAUAUGAAGGUGCUCUACCUUUCCACAGCUCAUAUGGGGUUUUAUCUUCUUGCUUUUGGGGUAUCUUAUUUAAUAAAUAAUUAGCUGACAAGACAACUUCUCCCCACAUAUUCUGAGGUAACCCAGAACUUAUCAACAUUGCAUUCAUCAGUUCCUUUAAUGUUCGAUUCUUUUGUUUUGCAAUCCCAUUAGAUUGAGGUGAAUAUGGAGCCGUGACUUGAUGUAUGAUUCCACUUUGUUCACAUAAUGACUCAAACGAAACAACAUACUCACCACCACGGUCGCUCUUUAAUUCUUUAAUUUUUCUAUUAAGUUGAUUCUCAACAUCAUUUUUGUAGAGAAUAAACUUUUCCAAAGCUUCAUCUUUACUUUUCAAUAAAUAUACAUAGCAAUAUUUUGUGCAAUCAUCUAUAAAGGUAAUAAAAUAUUUAUUACCACCUCUUGUUUGAAUGGAUUUAAAAUCACAAAUAUCACUAUGUAUUAAAUCAAGUUGUUCGGUGUUUCUUUUAAUUAUUUGGAAAGAUAACCUAGUUAAUUUUGCCUCAACACAAGUUUCACACUUAUGUUUCAAAUUAAUUUGGAAAUUGGGAAUAUGCUUCAUGUUAAUUAAUUUAUGCAAAGAAUUAAAAUUAACAUGUCCUAAUCUACCAUGCCAAAGAUUAGAAGACUCAAGCAAAUAAGCAGAAGAACUAGCUUCAUUUUUUGGUUUCAGAGUCAUUACAUUGAGCUUAAAUAGCCCAUUAUUAACAUAACCCUUUCCCACAUACAUCUCAUUCUUUGACAAAACUACCAUAUCUGACUUAAACACCAUUCGGAAACCAUGUUUGUUCAACAGCGAUCCAGACACCAAGUUCUUCCGAAUUUCUGGCACAUAAAGCACAUCGUUCAGAGUCAGCUAUUUUCUAGAAGUCAUCUUUAAAAUCACCUUCCCUUGACCCUCAAUCUCAGACGUAGUAGAAUUCCCCAUGAAUAGCUUUUCUCCAUUGUUAACUGCUUCAAAUGAAGUGAACAACCCUUUGUCAGAGUAAACAUGUCUGGUUGCUCCCGUAUCAAUCCACCAUUCUCUCAUAUUAGAGCUAACCAGAUUCACUUCUGAAACCACUGCAGAGAGGUUUAUGUUUGAAACAUGUUGAGUGAUGUUUUCCACCACAUUUGCCUCUCGCUUCUUUUUAGGCAACCUGCAAUCCGAAGCAUUGUGACUCAUCUUAUCACAAUUCAAACAUUUUCCUUGAAACUUUGUUUGCUUCUUGGAAAUUCCUCCUUUCAGACCCACUUUUUUUUUUUAAUUUUUAGGUCCAUGUUCAACAACAUUUGCCUUUGCCAUAAAAAUAGCCCCUCUUCUUUCUUUAAUUUUGUUAUCUUCCUCAAUUCAGAGCUUAACAACCAGCCCCUCAAUAUGCUUCAAAUAGCUCUUGAAAUCUUUCCAAGCAGGAGGCAAUUUUUCAAUAAUUGCAGCCACUUGAAAAGUUUCACUUAGCAUCAUCCCUUCUGCAAGGAUUUCAGAUAAUAUGGUUUGAAGCUCUUGUACUUGACUUAUUACAGUUUUAGAAUCCACCAUUUUAUAGUCUAGGAAGCGACCAAUAACAAACUUUUUGGUACCCGUAUCCUCAGUUUUAUAUUUCUGAUCUAAGGAUUCCCAUAGCUCCUUGGCUGUUUUCUUUCGUAUGUAUACAUUAUACAAGGAAUCACUAAGGCCAUUCAUCACAUAUUUUUUACAUAAAAAAUCAGAAUGGUGUCAUGCAUCAAUUGCACUUGCAACUUGAACAUCCGUUUCACCCUCUUUAGGUUUAGGAGCAUCCUCCGUCAAGAACCUCCCAAGGUUCAACGUGGUCAAGUAAAAGAACAUCUUUUGCUGCCAACGUUUGAAAUUCUACCCAUUGAAUAUUUCUGGCCUUUCCGCAUGAUUCACAUGAAUUACCACAGAGGUUGGUUCCUUCACAACAGUUGAUGCAGCAACAAAAGUUGAAAUAUAGACAUAUGGAACUUCAUCAAUGGUUUCAGUUGCCAUCUCAAUGAUAGUUUAAAUCUGUUUUAAGAUUGUAGGAAAAAUAAAAUAGUGAGAUAACAAAUUAACACAGUAAGGAAGAACAAAUUAAGAACUGGAAAACCAGAAGGGAAAAGAAAUUCGAAAUAGAAACUAAAACCCGAGGCCUGCAGCUCAGUUUCCUUAAAAUAGAUUUACCAACUAUUGAAGUGCUUUAAGUCUGCUGGUAAUUGCUUCCCAGGAUACAAUGAGGAUGAAUUUUUCGUCAAGUACAAACAGAUAAUUCCGGCGAACCACAACAGCGGCAAACUCGAUCAGAAACAAGACGGAAGAAGGAAGAAAGAAAAAUUGCAAGUGCUCUGUGUGUUGGUUUCAGUGUGUGUAAAAAUAGAAGAGGAGGUGCAUUUUUAUACUCAUGUGAGGAUGUAACAGUAGCAUUGUAUUGAAUUUCCGACUUCAAUAUAUGCCAUUAAAUAGUUAUAACAGCCAAUUCAAUUCAAUAAAUUGAUUUCAAAAUUGAAUUCAAAAACGUGAAUUGUAUAACAAUUAAAAAAUAAUUAUUAUGAAGCUGUUACAAAUCCUUUGAAUUCAAAACGUGAAACUGUUACAACAAAAAAUUUAAAAAGAAAUUCAAAAUGUGCCAUGCAAGCUUGGAUGAUUUUGGGCUGACAUUCGCGUACGCACACGAGUUCAACCAAAUCGGUCUUGGAUUUGCACCCCCCCUGCGCACGCGCGUGUGGAGAAAGCCUCUAUCUUUAUAAUUCUUACUCAUGCAUGGUUAAGUGUUUAUAUAUAAACACUAAUCCCUUGGCUUCUUUUCCCAUGUGGGAUAAGCCUCAUUUCCUUUCAAAUUUCCAACUUUAAGGGUGAACUUUGAGAGACAAUUUCUCAUUCACCUAAGCACCAUUUUGAGAAAAUAAAAUUACACUUUUGAAGUAUUAACAGAAUAGAAUCCGAACCUCACAAGAUUUCUCACUUUUGUUAAGUGGGACCCACUCAGAAUGUGCUCUCAAAAUAACAUAUAGAUAUGCUAUUUUUUCAACAGAAGAUCCCACACUUUGACACCUAAACCACUUCGGAAUUUCAUUCCCAGGUAAAAUCACAUGAACACUCUUUUCUAGAAAAUAUCCCUGUACCAAAAAACCAUAAUUUAAAACCAAUAUUGUUAGCUUUAAAUUAAAAUAGAAAAAUAACUUUGCGCAAAUUAAGUAGAAGGAGAGAGUUAAAGACAUACCUCCUCUCGUGCUUCUUUCCAAUGUGCAGUUGCCAUAAGUUGAAUUUCUUGCAGAGCAUCUUCGACAAUUCCUCUGGCCUCAUUCCGAUCCAAUUUAAAAUUACAACUCAGGUCAAUUUCAUAACUUGAGAAUAUCAAACCAGAUAAUGUAUCCAGUACCGUACAGUGAUGUGCGUCCAACUCAAGUAGACUACAUGGAAGCUUUAGUAAGGAUUGAAGCCUCUCGCUAUAGCUUAAGUUGAGAAACUUCAACUUGGAAAGUUGCAUGAUGCUUUCUGGUAUUCUCACAAAAUUGUUUUUUACCAGAAAUAAUUCUUCUAGUGUGGAUAACUGACCAAGACUUUCAGGUAACUCCAUGAUACUGCAAUCAGAUAGGUAUAAAUACGUUAAUGUGAUAGGGAAUGCUAAGCACACCUGUUUAUCACCCCUGUGUUGUGCAAAAUUUUAAUAUACUCGCAAGCGCACGAAUUUAAAAAUAGAAUAGUGGUAACGAGGUCAAUCCCACAGAGAUUGUUAUAAAUUGAAAAGUCUAAUUUAAAUCUAAAAUUAAUAUUAAUUCUAACCUAGUUGAUCAAAUUGAGUUUUAAGAGAAAUUAAACUAAGAAAACAAUUGAAUAAGACAAAAGUUACCAAGGUUUCAGAAUCCACCACUACUCAACUAAUAAUUGUCUAAUUAUUAAUUAAUCCCAAUUCUAGAGUGACAACUCGAAAUCAAUCUAUGUCAUCUCAUUGAUAUAACAAUUAAGCCCAAAUAAAAUUAAUCUUGUGUAUGUUCUUUUUCUGCUUAAUAGUAUAAUAUCUAAGCAUCCCAUGUAAACAUAUUGAAUAAUAAAGCAUCUCAUUUAAGCCCAAAUAAAAUUAAUCUUGUGUAAUCUCAUUGAUAUAACAAUUAAGCCCAAAUAAAAUUAAUCUUGUGUAUGUUCUUUUUCUGCUUAAUAGUAUAAUAUCUAAGCAUCCCAUGUAAACAUAUUGAAUAAUAAAGCAUCUCAUAUAAACAUAUUGAAUAAUAAAGAGACAAACAACUAUAUCAUUGUUAACCACAGAAGCAGAGUAUAUAUAGUAACAGUGAUGGUAAGAAAGUACUUGGUUAAUGCAGCUGAUGAAGGAUCUACACCAACCAGUAGAUUAUGUAGUACCAUUGUAUUGUGGUAAUCAAUUGGCAAUUAGCUUGGUGGAAAAUUUAGUUUUCCAUGCAAGAACUAAGUAUAUAAAAGUGCAUUAUUACUUCAUCAGGGAAAAAGUCUUGCAAAAUGAAGUUGCGGAUUUGUUUACAAAGUGUUUUAGUAACACGAAGUUUGAAGAGUUCCACUACCAACUCAAUAUGGAUUGAAGGAUGAAAGUUGGUGUUGAGGGGGAGUGUUAAAAGUCCAACACUAAUUUCAUGAUCUAAUUCAAUUACAUUUGUCCAAUCCCAAGUUCAAAGCCCAAUUCAUGGAAGAUUCAAGAAUUGUAUAGAGAAUAAGAGAUAUUUCUAAUCUAAAAUAUCUAAUUAAGAUAAAAAUAUCUAAGUUUAAUUUUUUUUUAAAUAUUUGGAGAUAUUUAUAAAAUAUGGUUUUCAUAUUUUUUGUAAUUUAAUAUUUGUGUGUUUUGUAUUAGUUCUAUGGUCUUUGUUGUAGGAAUCAAGUGAAGAGUGAAAAAUUAUUAGAGAGAAAGAAGAGUGAGCCCUGAGUGUUGUAGUGUUUCUCUUGUAAAAUAUCAACAAAAUCUUUUAGUUUAAAAAAAUUUUUCUAUUGCCUAAGUAGUUUUAGUUUGACCAAUUUAAUCCUUCUGAAUUUUCAACAAAACAUAUAUACAAUUUUCAAUAAUAAGCAGAAGAGUUAAUAGAAGCUUAAUGAAAAACUUGAUUCUCUCUAAAAUUACCUUCAUCUUAUUUCUUUUCAUUCCUUUUAUUUCAUCUUAUUUCCAUCUGUUUUGUAAUUGUUAGGAUUCUUACCACAUAGAUUCACAACAAUGGUAAAUUUUUUUUAAGUAAUAUUAAUUAAUUAAUUAAUUUAUUUAUUUUUAAAUGUAACUCUAAUGACUACGCUAUAAUUGUGCUGCGUGGUGAAACAAUGUCCAUAUACAAAGGGCAAGAUCUACCUAAUUUGUGGAGGAUUCAGUGUGAUCACGAAUGGUGUUAUGAGGGGACAUGGGUCAAUUUUUGUUACUAUCAAUGCUAUAUAUAUCACAUUUUUAUUAUAUUCUUUCUUUUUGAAAAUGUUUAGUGAUCACUAUCAACACUUAAUGUUCAACAAUUUCGGACAUAUAUAGGUCAUACGUAUUAAUAAUUUAAUAUUAUCAAUGAUGCGUGUAGCUUGUGAGUAUCUCUAUCGAGCUACUUUGGGAUUGUUUUUGAAAAAAUUAAAAGUUAACUUUGGUACUUAACGAAUUUUUUUAAAAAUUAUUUUUGAUAAAAUUGUCUCAUCUUACAACGGAUUUUAAAAAGGUAGAGUAACUUUUUAAAAUUUAAUGUUGAAAAUUAUUUUUUUACUUAAUACAAUUUCAUAUAUAUCCUUAUAUAUUAUAAAAAUCUCAAAUUAUCUUUAUUAAUUGGGAAAUAAAAUUAUUAACUUUAAAGAGAUUAUCAUUAUUACCAAUUAUAUUGAGAUAAAAAUAAAAUUAACACUAUAUAAUGUCUAUUUUAGUUAUCAAUUAUUAUAUAGACAAUAACAAAUAUUAUAGAUACAUGUUUAUAAAUGUGUAAAAUAAAUUUUAUUCAACAUUAUAGCCAAUCUAAUAUUUAUAUUCUUAUAACAGUUUAAAUAUAAAAUUUACCAUUCACAUACGACUGCUUUUAAAGCUCACAGUAUUUUUAAAAAUAAAUUUUACCAAACAUUUAACUGAUUCUCUUCAUAUCUAAUUAUUUUUACAGUAUAGUUAACAUUAAUUAUUUUAAAAAUUAUAGUAUUACCAAACUAACCCUUAGGCACUUCUCAUUUCAUUCUCAAUAUUAAAAGUUUUGAGUCAUUUUGUGAGUAUUUUGGAAGUUAAUUGUUUUAAAUAUUUAAAAAUAGAAUCAGUUCAUUUUAAAUCUUAACAUCGAAAUUAUAUCACAGAAUUGAGUUAUGAGUAAAUUUAUGUUAUUGUAGAUAUCUAUAAAUUGGAGUGUAACUUAAAAAAGAAAACCUCAUCUUUUUGGCGUUUAUAUAUAUCAAAGACAAGCCUCGAAUUUCGCUUUGCGUGUAUUCACUUUUAAGGGAGUCAAAUUCAGUAUCUUUUUUGUCAAACCUAACUUAACAAUAUGUUAACUUAACCAUUUGGUCAAACCCAAAUACUAUUACUUGACCUCAAGGCAAACUCUGCUAAUUUUGCCGGAAAUACGUGAUUUCCCAAACCAAGCCCCCACAUCAUAGUAAUUUAUGAGGAUGCCACAAACGUAGAAACAAAGCAUCCUAGGAAUUUGAUUCAUCACAUUUAAAUCUUUAUUUUCUUAAUACGACAUUAGCUCAUGCUCCAUAUGAAAAUAAAGAGAAUUAAAAAUAAUAGCUUCACUUACAAGUAAAUGAAAUUGCAAUUAAUGGAGUGCAUAAAUGAGUGCCAACUGCCAAAAUGUCAAACAGAAGACCAACAGGUACAAGACUGAAGAUAGUGUAGAUCUAGUCAGAUCCGAAUUUUAGGUUAGGUACCGCAAUAACUGUUAGGAAAUUGAUGGGUGAAGCAGACACGCAGUUAAAAUAAAAUUGGAAGAAAAUAAAGAACAAGCAUAAAGAGGACACCAGAAAAUUACGUGGUUCGGCUUUUAGCCUACGUCCACGGGCGAAGACAGAAGGAAAUAUUUUACUAGUAAAAAGGAGUUACAAGUAUUGUAGUAUUUUAGCUCACUUCCCAAAAUCCCAAUACAUCUAAAUUCUCAAAUCACUAUAACAAGAGCUUAUAAUUUCAGGCUCUCAAAACUCUCUCUCAAAAUGCUAAAUUGCUCUUUCUCUUAAUGGAAUGAAUUAGCUCUUCAUCUGCACUUCUAUUUAUAGCAAAAUAGUGGCCAAGAAAAUCAACAAUUUUAGCCCACCAAUUAUGGCUUCAAUUUCGUCAAUCCGCGUGGCUUCAAUUUGUUAAUCUAGCUUUCAAAGUUUGUGAGCUAUGUCCUCUAUUUUCUUUGAUUUGCUGGCACUAAAGUCAAGUACCAAAUUUGGUGCUGACUUUUAGGUGCUUGCUUUGACAUUCUCCCACUUGGAGAUUAGAUUGAAAAACAAUCAAUCUCCACACCAUCCUUUCUGCUUCGCCAUAAUCAUGUUGCCUACGUUUUUGCUAGGCUACAAGAGGAUCUACUCUAGACAAACUUGUCAGUAUUGAUUGGCUUGGUCAAAACAUUUGCUAGAUUCUCCUUUGUAUGGAUUUUCUGUAAAUCCACACUUUCGUCUUCCACUACUUUUCGAACGAAGUGAUACUGAACUCCUAUGUGCUUUAUUCUGGAAUGAAAGGCUGGAUUCCUUGCAAUGUGCAAGGCACUCUGACUGUCACAAAAUACAGGAAUUUUCUGUUGUUUGUGCCCGAGCUCCUCCAAUAACCUUUGUAUCCAAAUAGCUUCCUUGCAAGCUUGUGUAGCUGCCAUGUAUUCUGCUUCUGUUGUAGAUAAAGCCACAACGGUCUGCAGUUUCGAAACCCAGCUUACAGCUGCUCCCGCAAGUGUAAACACAUAACCAGUAGUGGAUUUUCUUUUAUCAAGAUCUCCUGCAAAAUCUGAAUCCACAUAACCCCUGACAGUAAACUCUGAUCCUCCAUAACAUAAUGCAACAUCUGAGGUUCCUUUUAUGUAUCUUAGAAUCCUCUUCACGGCUAUCCAAUGUUCUCCACCAGGAUUCGCCAUGUAUCGACUGACUGCUCCCACUGCUUGUGUAAUGUCCAGUCUAGUACAUAUCAUAGCGAACAUCAAACUCCCCACUGCUGAUGCAUACGGUACUCGAGACAUCUCAUUCCUCUCUGCUUCAUUGCCAGGACACAUACUUGAGGAUAAUUUGAAAUUAACAGGAAGUGGGGUAGAGAUUGACUUACAAUCUUGCAUGUUGAAGCGCCGCAAGAUUUUCUUCAAGUAAUUCUUCUGUGAAAGCUAAAUCUUCAUGUUAUUUUUGUCUCGGUGAAUUUGCAUCUCUAGAAUCUUGUUUGCUGGUCCCAUGUCCUUCAUUUCAAACUCCCUAGCCAAUUGUGCCUUCAAUUUUUGGAUUCGAUCUUUGUUGAGGCCUGCUACCAAUAUGUCAUCCACAUACAAAGCAAAAUAAUGAAAUUAUUAUCUUCAAACCUUUUGUAAUAUGCACAAUGGUCUGAACUGAGUCUGUUGUAUCCAAGGCUCAUGAUGAAGGAAUCAAAUCUCUUAUACUAACACAUCGGCGCCUGUUUGAGACCGUAUAGAGAUUUGUUCAACCUGCAAACCAAGUUUUCCUUUCAUGUUUCUUCAAUACCUUCUGGUUGGAGCAUAUAUAUUUCUUCUUCAAGUUCUCCAUGAAGAAAUGCAGUUUUCACAUCUAACUGCUCAAGAUAUAAGUCAAAUGUGGCACACAUCGCUAAGACUACUCUGAUUGUUGUGAGUCGAACCACCGAAGAAAAUAUCUCGUUAAAGUCAAUACCUUCUUUCUAAGCAUAUCCUUUCACCAUCAGUCUUGCACGAUACCGCUCCACUUGGUCAUUGCCAUCACGUUUAAUCUUAUAGACCCAUUUGUUACCAAUGGCUUUUCUUCCGUGUGGUAGUGGUACAAGUUCCCAUGUCUUGUUCUUGUGUAGAGCUUCAAUUUCUUCUUGCAUUGCUGUCAUCCACAAAGUAACAUCUGAGCUGUUUAAAGUUUCGUGAAAAGUUGAAGGCUCUCAAUCCUCUGUUAGAAAACAGUAAGCAACGUUGAUGUCUGUGACAUACUCCGAGUGCCACAUUGGCGGUCGUCUCUCACGAGUUGACCGACGAACUUCUAGAGCCUCGGACUCGACUGGUUCUUGUUCUUCGUGUUCUGGUGCUGCUUCAAAAGAAUCUGAAUCUUCUGGAUUAUUUUCCACAUAUACCGGCACAGUCUCUGACUUUUCUUUUGCAGUGCUAUUAUCUCCAUCUUUCCUUUGCAGUUGAUCUUCUACAAAAAUAACAUCUCUACUGAUGACGAUCUUGUGGGCAAUGGGGCCUCACAGACGAUACCUCUUUACUCCAUCAGCAUAUCCCAAAAAGAUACAUCUUCUAGAUUUUGCAUCCAGCUUUAUUCUUUUUUAGGCAUUGUACAUCACGUACACAGGACAUCCAAAUUUGGACUCGAUCUUUGUUGGGGCCUGCUACCAACAUGUCAUCCACAUACAACAGCAAAAUGAUGAAAUCAUUAUCUUCAAACUUUUUGUAAUAUGCACAAUGGUCUGAACUGAGUCUGUUGUAUCCAAAGCUCAUGAUGAAGGAAUCAAAUCUCUUAUACCAACACCUCCGCACCUGUUUGAGAUCGUAUAGAGAUUUGUUCAACCUGCAAACCAAGUUCUCAUUUUCUGUUUCUACAAAACCUUCUGGUUGGAGCAUAUAUAUUUCUUCUUUAAGUUCUCUAUGAAGAAAUACAGUUUUUACAUCCAACUACUCAAGAUGUAAGUCAAAUGUAGCACACAUCGCCAAGACAACUCUGAUUGUUGUAAGUCGAACCACCGGAGAAAAUAUCUCGUUAAAGUCAAUACCUUCUUUCUGAGCAUAUCCUUUCACCACCAAUCUUGCACGAUACCGCUCCACUUGGUCAUUGCCAUCACGCUUGAUCUUGUAGACCCAUUUGUUUCUAAUGGCUUUUCUUCCAUGUGGUAGUGGUACAAGUUCCCAUGUCUUGUUCUUGUGUAGAGCUUCAAUUUCUUCCUGCAUUGCUGUCAUCAACAAAGCAACAUCUGAGCUGUUUAAAGCUUCAUGGAAAGUUGAAGGCCCUCCAUCCUCUGUUAGAAGACAGUAUACAACAUUGAUCUCUGUAACAUACUCCGAGUGCCACGUUGGCGAUCGUCUUUCACGAGUUGACCGACGAACUUCUGGAGCCUCGGACUCGACUGGUUCUUGUUCCUCAUGCUCUGGUGCUGCUUCAGAAGAAUCUGAAUAUUCUGGAUUAUUUUUCACAUAUACCGGUAUAGUCUCUGACUUUUCUUUUACACUAUUAUCAUCCUCAUCUUUCCUUUGCAGUUGAUCUUCUACAAAAAUAACACUGGACGCUUGCUGCCCGCAUCCGGAUUUUUAGUUUUUAGAAUCCGGAUAGCCGCUUGCUACAGUAACCUGCUACAGUGAAAUUUUUCCUAAAUUUUUAGUUUGACCCCAAAACUUUAUAAAACUGUAGUAUGGCCCAAAACGUUAUGAGACUUUGCAAAUAGGUCCAAUUUCAGAAUUUCUAAGUAAUGCUUUGUCAAUCCCAAAACUUUUUGAAAUUAUGAUUUCGCCCAAACUUUGUAAAAUUAUAUAAUGGCGCAAAAAUAUUUAAAUAGUUUCAAAUAGGUUCAAAUCCGAAAUUUAAAAACUCUAUCAAAGAUUUUAACAAUGCUUUCAUUUUAGUCCAAAAUGCUUUAAUUCCAUAACAUCAUUUUCUUAUUAUAAAAGCAUAAUUCAUAAAUCUUUGCUUAAUAAAUACAUGUGAUUUGUUAUCAUCAAAAUCAAUAUUUAUAGCCAUAUAGGCUAACAAUAGCGAACAUAAUACUUGAGGAUAAUUUGAAAUUAAAAGGAAGUGGGGUAGAAAUGGACUUACAAUCUUGCAUGUUGAAGCGUCGCAAGAUUUUCUUCAAAUAGUUCUUUUGUGAAAGCCAAAUCUUCCUAUUAUUUCUAUCUUGGUGAAUUUGCAUCCCUAGUUGUUUGCUAGUCCUAAGUCAUUCAUUUCAAACUCCCUAGCCAACUGUGCCUUCAAUUUUUGGACUCGAUCUUUGUUGGGGCCUGCUACCAACAUGUCAUCCACAUACAACAGCAAAAUGAUGAAAUCAUUAUCUUCAAACUUUUUGUAAUAUGCACAAUGGUCUGAACUGAGUCUGUUGUAUCCAAAGCUCAUGAUGAAGGAAUCAAAUCUCUUAUACCAACACCUCCGCACCUGUUUGAGAUCGUAUAGAGAUUUGUUCAACCUGCAAACCAAGUUCUCAUUUUCUGUUUCUACAAAACCUUCUGGUUGGAGCAUAUAUAUUUCUUCUUUAAGUUCUCUAUGAAGAAAUACAGUUUUUACAUCCAACUACUCAAGAUGUAAGUCAAAUGUAGCACACAUCGCCAAGACAACUCUGAUUGUUGUAAGUCGAACCACCGGAGAAAAUAUCUCGUUAAAGUCAAUACCUUCUUUCUGAGCAUAUCCUUUCACCACCAAUCUUGCACGAUACCGCUCCACUUGGUCAUUGCCAUCACGCUUGAUCUUGUAGACCCAUUUGUUUCUAAUGGCUUUUCUUCCAUGUGGUAGUGGUACAAGUUCCCAUGUCUUGUUCUUGUGUAGAGCUUCAAUUUCUUCCUGCAUUGCUGUCAUCAACAAAGCAACAUCUGAGCUGUUUAAAGCUUCAUGGAAAGUUGAAGGCCCUCCAUCCUCUGUUAGAAGACAGUAUACAACAUUGAUCUCUGUAACAUACUCCGAGUGCCACGUUGGCGAUCGUCUUUCACGAGUUGACCGACGAACUUCUGGAGCCUCGGACUCGACUGGUUCUUGUUCCUCAUGCUCUGGUGCUGCUUCAGAAGAAUCUGAAUAUUCUGGAUUAUUUUUCACAUAUACCGGUAUAGUCUCUGACUUUUCUUUUACACUAUUAUCAUCCUCAUCUUUCCUUUGCAGUUGAUCUUCUACAAAAAUAACAUCUUUGCUAAUGACGAUCUUGUGGGCAGUGGGAUUCCACAGACGAUACCCCUUUACUCCAUCAGCAUAUCCCAAGAAGAUACAUCUUCUUGAUUUUGCAUCCAUUUAUGUUCUUUCUUGAGCAUUGUACAUCACGUACACAGGACAUCCAAAUGCAUGUAAGUAGGAAUAAUCACCUGGCUUUUCAGUCCACAACUCCAUCGCUGUCUUCAGCCCAAUAGUUGUAGAUGGCGAUCGAUUUACUAUAUAACAGGCAGUUUUGGUUGCUUCUGCCCAGAAUGAAUUGGGUAGACCAGCAGUCCUCAACAUAGCUCUUAUUCUUUCUGUAAGAGUUCUGUUCAUCCGCUUUGCCACUUCGUUUUGUUGAGGAGUGUAUGCUACAUUGAACUGUCUCUGAAUACCUUCUUGCUUACAGAAAAUAAGAAACCCGCCGUUUGUAUACUCUCCACUAUUAUCUGUCCUCAAGCACUUGAUCUUUUUACCAGAUUCAAGUUCCACCCGUGCUUUGUAUUCUUUAAACACUGGAAAUACAUCUGACUUUUUCUUAAUUGGAUACACCCAACAUCUUCUGAAAUAAUCAUCAAUGAAAGUCACCAUGUACUUUGCACCUCCCAUGGACAUAUCCAGUGAUUCCCAAACAUCAGAAUGAAUCAAGUCUAGAAUGCAUUUACUUCUAGCAAUAGAUCUACUGAAUUUUAAUCUAUGCUGCUUACUUAUAACACAAUGCUCGCAAAAUGGUAAAUUUACCAAUUUGAGCCUUGGAAGCAAUUUUUGCUCAGAAAAAAUCUUCAAACCUUGUGCUGACAUGUGGCCAAGUUUGAGAUGCCACAUCAUCGUUGACUCUUCUCCAUUUGACACGACACACGCAUCAGUCUCCUGUAGUGUUUCUCUUUUAAGCAUGAAUAGAUUAGCACCGAUCUUUUCUGCCUUCAUCAAUACAAGCGCGCCUUUAACGAUCUUCAUAAUUUCAUUCUCUACAUGAGUUUUGCACCCAUGACUGUCUAUUUGUCCCAAAGACAAUAGAUUUUUCUUCAGGCCAUUGACAUGUCGUAUUUCUCCAAUUGUGCGAAUUGUACCAUCAAACAUUUUUAUUUUGAUAGUACCAAUACCAGCGAUCUCCAAGGCAUGAUCAUUACCCAUAUAUACAGAUCCUCCUGAGAUAGGUUCAUAUGUGUGAAACUAUUCUCUCCGAGACGUCAUGUGCCAAGUAGCUCCUGAGUCUAUAAGCCAGACAUCAGAUAGUCGUUUUCUGCCUUCUAAAACAGUGAUUGCCUCACUGUAGAGAAUUUCGCCAUCAUCCGAGGUACUUGCUACACACCCUUGAGCAUUUGAUGACUCAGGUUCUUUGCCCUCUUUUUUCUUCUAGUUACUCCAACACUCUUUUUUGACGUGCCAUUUCUUGCCACAGUUGUAGCAUUUAACAUUCUUCUUACUUCUAGAUUUUGAUCUACCAUGAUUUUGACUCCCACUGGAGCCACGUUCCAUUGAUCUCCAUCUCGUCAACGAUAGCGCCUCCGCUUGCUGUGAACUUGCUUGUCUGUUUUUCUUAUUUUUUCGCUUGCUCUCCUCAUUUAAUACGGAGGCUGCAACAUCGUCAAAAACUAGACUGUCUGCUGGAUUGUUGUUCGUCAGGUUGAUGAUGAGUUGAUCAUACGAAUCUGGUAGACUUUGAAGUAGAAGCUCUGCACGUUCAUUCUCCUUUAUAUUAUGACCCAACGUUGUGAGUUGUGAAAAUAGAGUCUUCAAGGUAUUGAUGUGGUCAGUCACCAUUGUAGAUUCCGCCAUUCGAAGAGUAUAGAGUUUCCUCUUCAAGAAGAUUUUGUUGUGUAGUGACUUGGCCUCGUACAAUUUUGUGAGAGUAUCCCAUAUUUCCUUCGCUGUAUUUUUCUCUGCCACACUGGAUAAUACUCCGUCUGCAAGUGCCAAGUGUAGAUCAGAAAUGGCGUUGCCAUCUAUCUCGUUCCACUUGUCAUCAGUUAUCUCCAUGGGCCUUUCUCCAAUUGCUGCCAAGCAAUUAUUUUUCCUUAAUACAGCUUUCAUCUUCAUUUUCCACAAUGAAAAAUUAUUUCCGUUAAAUAUCUCAAUUUCAUACUUUGCCGCCAUUUUAUUGAUAAAUACUUCACACAAGCUAGUAUACCACCUUGAAUAGUUGUGAGUAUGUGUGAGAAUUCACACCAGGAAAGUUCCUAGGAAAGACUGGAGGGGUCAUAAUGGUCCCACUUAAAACCCAAACUCCUUAAGCUCUUAUCGCCUUUGUGACAGAACUUUCCUAGACAUGUACAAAACCACACAGUUGCUUUACUCACACCACUAUUCCCUGCUUUGAACCGCCAAAUUCUUGGAUCGCUCCCAUCGUUUCUUGUGAAUAGUACCGUAUACGUGAACAGUGUCGUAUACGUGAAUAGUACCCCUUACGUGAACAGUACUCGACUCCAAAAAUACAACCAAUAGCUCUGAUACCACUGUUAGGAAAUUGGUGUGUGAAGCAGACACGCAGCUAAAAUAAAAUUGGAAGAAAAAUAAAGAACAAGCAUAAAGAGGAUACUAGAAAAUUACGUGGUUCGGCUUUUAGCCUACGUCCACGGGCGAAGACAGAAGGAAAUAUUUUACUAGUAAAAAAGAGUUACAAGUAUUGUAGUAUUUUAGCUCAAUUCCUAAAAUCUCAAUACACCGAAAUUCUCAAAUCACUAUAACAAGAGCUUAUAAUUUCAGGCUCUCUAAACUCUCUCUCAAAAUGCUAAAUUGCUCUUUCUCUUAAUGGAAUGAAUUAGCUCUUCAUCUGCACUUCUAUUUAUAGCAAAAUAGUGGCCAAGAAAAUCAACGAUUUUAGCCCACCUAACUGAUGACUGGAUAAGGCUACGUUGCAGACGAUGUACCUGGCAGACAAUGUACCGUAGCAAGCUCCCUGAUGACCAUGAAAUAAUUGAGUUGCAAUAAUUGAAAAGAUUCCUUCAUAAAUUAAUAUAAUAGCGGUAUAAUGAUGCUUUAAAAUUACAAACAAAAUAAAUAUUAAUAAAAAUAACAUAAAAUUUGUAAAACCAACAUUAAAAUUUAAUUUAAUUUAAUAAUAGUUUAUUUAUUUAAUUUAUUUAAGCAAAGAAAAAAAUUAAUCAUCAAUUGAAAACAAAAAAUUAUAUUGAAGAUUCAUUAAAUUGGUUUAACCAUAAAUUCUAUAUUCAUGCUAGGAUAUAUAUAAUUUUUUUUUUAUUUUCUAUCAUGUUAUUUGUUUACUAUACAAGUUAAUUAAGUAAAAUUAUUUUUCUUGAUGUGAAUCAAGACAAAACAAAAUAAAAAGACAUUCUUAUAUUACUAGACACAUAUCAAAUAUCAGUAAAUUUACAUUUAAUUUCUAGUUUUAUACGUAUUUCAUGUACUUUUAAACUUUGCUUCUUACUUAUACUAAAAGAUCAUUUGCGGAUGUUGUUGAGAAGGUUUAGAAGAAUGUAAAUCACCUAUCUUACAAAUAAUUUUUAAAAAUAUGAAAAAAACUUCAAAAUUUGAUUUUGAGAACAAGUUAAUUUCACAUAUAUCAUCAAAUGUAUUACAUAAACCUAAAAUUAUCAUUAUUCAAAAUUAGAAAUAAAAACAAUAAAUAUAUAAGGUGAUUAUUAUAAUGAGUUUUUAUUUUACAUUUGUAAGUUUUUAGUUGUUUCAAUAACUCUUAUAAUAUUUACUUUUUUAACAUUUCAUUUACGAGUCUUCUAUUUCAUUUACAUAAUUUAUAUGUUAUUUUACACUUAAUGUUGAUUUAUAAGUUUUAUGAUACAUCUGUAAGUUUAUGUUUUGUUUACCAAUAAUACAUUAUUUUACCACUUCUAAAUUAAUUUACUUGUUUUACUUUCUAUUCACAAAUCUUAUGUUUUAUUUACUUAAUUUAUGUUUUUAAUUUACUCUUAAUGUUGAUUUAUAAGUUUCAUGUUACAUCGGUAGGUUUAUGUUUUGUUUACCAAUAAUACAUCAUUUUACCACUCAUAUAUUAAUUUACUUGUUUUAUAUUCUAUUUACAAGUCUUAUAUAUUACUUAUUUAAUUUAUGUUUUAUCUUACCCUUAAUGUUAAUUUAUAAAUUUUAUGUUAUAUUGAAAAGUUUUUGUUUUAUUUACCAAUGAUAAAUUAAUUUACUACUCAUAUAUUAAUUUACUUAAUUUAACUUUCAUUUACAAGUCUUAUAUUCUAUUUACAUCAUUUACGUUUUAUUUUACACUUAAUGUUGAUUUAAAAAUUUUAUAUUAUACUUAUAAGUUUUUGUUUUGUUUACCAAUAAUACAUCAAUUUACCACUCUUAUGUUGAUUUACUUAUUUUACAUCCUAUUUAUAAGUCUUAUAUUCUAUUUCCACAAUUUAUGUUUUAUUUUUAUACUUUAUAUAUAUAUUGAUUUACAAGUUUUAUAUUACAUUUAUAAUUUUUUUAGUUUACUAGUAAUAUACCAAUUUAAUACUCUUAUGUUAAUUUAUUUAUUUUAUCUUAUAUUUACAAGUCUUAUAUUUCAUUUACACAAUUUAUGUUCUGUUUUGCAAAGAGUUGAAAGUCCAUGGGCAGAAGUUGUCGGCCUAACUAAUGCAUGGGUUGCCAAUGUGCCCACAUUUGCUAAGUCACUGCUUAUGUAACUAAAGUCACUACUUAUUUAACUUACAGUACUGAAUAACACAUAUGGGUCUCAUAAUUUAUUAUCAUUUUUUGUAUUAUUUUUAAAAGGUAUAUGUUACACCAACAGUAACUUAGCAAUUACCUAGACAUUAAUAUUUACUAAAGUUAAUUACAUUUAAAACAACAUUAGGCACAUUGUUGAAAUUUCCCAUGAUUGAAACAUAUAUAAAUGCAUGUUGUCCGCUCAUCUCAACGGCAGUGCCCAAGAACCCUAUAGAUCUUUUCUAGCCAUGACACUUCAACCACUGAUUUUUUAUGCUUCCCUCUUCAUCUUGUCCGCCCUAGUGCUGAAAGCCAUCAAACACUCACGGCGACUGCCACCAAGCCCGUGGGCCUUGCCGAUCGUCGGGCACCUCCAUCUCCUCGGCCCUUCCCUUCACCAUUCUUUUCACAAGCUUUCAACUCGCUAUGGCCCCUUGAUGUCCAUACGCAUAGGCUCUGUCCUAGGUGUUGUAACUUCUUCUCCUGAUGUAACCAAAGAGCUUCUCAAAACAAAUGAUGUUACUUUUGCCGCCCGGAACAGCUCUGCCGCCAUUGAAUGCCUUACAUAUAACUCUUCUUUUGCUUUUGCUCCCAACGGCCCAUAUUGGCAAUUCAUGAAAAAGCUGACCACAGUUGAGCUCUUGGGCAGCAGAACCCUUCUCCAGUUUCUUCCUAUUCGAACAAAUGAGUUGCACGAGCUUAUUCGGUUUCUAUUUGAGAAGUCUAAAUCUGGCGGAAGUGUUAGUAUUACAGAUGAAUUGUUGAAAUUUACAAACAAUAUAAUAUCUCAAAUGAUGUUGAGCAUUAGAUGUUCAGGAAAGGGGGGCCAGGCUGAAGAGUGUAGAACCCUGGCUCGUGAAGUGACUGAAAUUUUUGGCGAGUUUAAUAUCUCUGACAUUAUUUGGAUUUUCAAAAGCUUUGAUAUUCAGGGUUUUCGCAGGAGAUUCAAGGAUAUUCAUCGACGGUUCGAUUCGUUGCUGGAGAAUAUCAUAACAAAUCGUGAAAAAUUAAGGAAGGAGAAGAAGGAAAGUGAAGAGAAAGUGAAGGAUUUGCUUGAUAUUUUGCUCGAUGUUCUGGAGAAUCAGAAUUCGGAGAUCAAGUUAACUAGAGAUCACAUCAAAGCCCUAUUUUUGGUAAGUCAUGUUUCACUUGCUUUAUUUAUUUAUUUACUGUUAUUAAUGUUUUUGUUACGGCUGCUAAGUUACAUUGUUUUUAUCUUACAACUUACUCAAAAUUAAUUUUCUGUAAGUUUUUAAUUGUUUGACAAGUAACAAUUGAGUGAUAUUAAAAAAAAAUUAAUUUUAAGUUGAUGUAAAUUAUAGUAGAUGUAAGUUAGCAAGACUAUUAUUUAUUAUUAUUAUUUGAUAAAUAAGGUCUCAGUUCAUUUGUUUAGGAAUAUACCAUUUUUGUACUUUGGUUUCUUUUUCUAUUUUUUGCGGUUCAAAAGCUACUGGAUUCAUAUUACCUAUAUUUAAUUUUACAAAGACGUCUCCCAAAAAAGAUGCUUCUUAAUCAAUGCAAAUUACCUAUAUUUGUCUCUUUUAACAUCAUCUUUAAAAAUGGUCAUUUAUAUUUAACUAAUAUAUGUUGUCAAUUGUACUCUGUCUUCAUCGGUGUGGCAUAAAUGCAUUAAUUAUUAAUGUGUCAUUAAUGCAAUUGACGGUGAAAUGGUGUAAUACUUUUAAAAUAAUUUGGGUAAUUAUUUUCAUUUUGGUGCUCCCAUUCCUAUGGACAUAUUUAGUAGCUACCACAUCUUAAGUGUGAAUAUGAUCUAAGCCUAUUAGAGGUCUCAUAUCUAAAUCAAAGGUUUGUUUAAUACUGAGGUGUCAAAAAGAAAUUAUAGUUGUGAAAUAAAAUUUGACAUAAAUAUAAUUUUAAAUAUAUUUAUGACAAAACUAGUAAAUAUUUUAAGUUUCUUUUUUUUUAUAAAAUAAUCAGUGGAUAAAAUCACAUUAACAAAAAUUCACAGCUAUAAGUGUUUACCAUGAUUUUUAAGUUACAACUACUCAAUAAUAGUACCAAAUGGACCAUAAAUCAAAUCUUUAACAAAAGCAUCAACUUAAAAACUCUAAAAAAAAAAUAAAUAAUAAAUAAAUAAAUCUUAUCUUUAUAGCAAUGAAUCUCCUUGUUCUAACAGAUGUCUUGUUGCUUUUGAUUAAUAGGAAGCAACACAUAUUUUUUUUAGAAUUUUUUUACCUAACAUGUAACAUCUUUGUUGCUAUCUGUCCAGGAUUUCCUCACAGCUGGCACAGACACUUCAUCCAUGACAGUGGAAUGGGCAUUAGCAGAGCUCAUAAACCAUCCAAUGGUGCUUCAGAAAGCACAGCAAGAGAUUGAUCAAGUUGUGGGAAGAAACAGGCUUGUUCAAGAAUCUGACUUUCCUCGUCUCCCCUAUAUUCAAGCCAUCAUUAAAGAAUCAUUUCGGAUUCAUCCACCAAUUCCAUUGAUUAGCAGGAAAGCAGUAGAAGACUGUAAAAUUGGCAACUACGUAAUUCCUAAAGACACUGUGUUGUUUGUGAACCUUUGGUCCAUGGGUAGGGACCCCAAAAUUUGGAAGAACCCAUUGGAAUUUCAGCCAGAACGAUUCUUAUCACAGUCAAAUAGUGAGAUUGAUGUUAGAGGAUUGCAUUACCAAUUGCUGCCAUUUGGAACUGGGAGAAGAGGCUGCCCUGGCCUUUCUUUAGCCAUGCAAGAGUUGCCAGCAACUCUAGCAGCUAUGAUUCAGUGCUUCAAUUUCAAAGUAACGAGUCCGGAUGGUGUGGUUGAUAUGUCUGAACGCCCACAAUUAUCAUCUCCAAGAGCACGAGAUCUUAUGUGUGUGCCAGUUGCACGUUGUCCUCGUAAUAUCCUAAAUUAAGAUGUAUGUUGAAAUUAAAGUGUCUUUAUAAAUGUUCAGCCCUUGUCUCUAUUUAAUGGGUAAACUUAUGUUACAUUUGAUGUAAGUAACAACAAUGACGUGACCAAUUGACUCACGUAAGAGCAGUACGUGGCGGUAAGGGACAAUAUUAAAAACAUGUUCAAGGUAAUUAUUUUCAUUUUGGUGCUCCCAUUCCUAUGGACAUAUUUAGUAGCUACCACAUCUUAAGUGUGAAUAUGAUCUAAGCCUAUUAGAGGUCUCAUAUCUAAAUCAAAGGUUUGUUUAAUACUGAGGUGUCAAAAAGAAAUUAUAGUUGUGAAAUAAAAUUUGACAUAAAUAUAAUUUUAAAUAUAUUUAUGACAAAACUAGUAAAUAUUUUAAGUUUCUUUUUUUUUUAUCAAAUAAUUAGUCGAUAAAAUCGCCUUAACAAAAAUUCACAGUUAUAAGUGUUUGCCAUGAUUUUUAAGUUACAACUUCUCAAUAAUAGUACCAAAUGGACCAUAAAUCAAAUCUUUAACAAAAGCAUCAAGUUAAAAACUCUAACAAAAAAAUAAAUAAUAAAUAAAUAAAUCUUAUCUUUAUAACAAUGAAUCUCCUUGUUCUAACAGAUGUCUUGUUGCUUUUGAUUAAUAGGAAGCAACACAUAUUUUUUUUAGAAUUUUUUUACCUAACAUGUAACAUCUUUGUUGCUAUCUGUCCAGGAUUUCCUCACAGCUGGCACAGACACUUCAUCCAUGACAGUGGAAUGGGCAUUAGCAGAGCUCAUAAACCAUCCAAUGGUGCUUCAGAAAGCACAGCAAGAGAUUGAUCAAGUUGUGGGAAGAAACAGGCUUGUUCAAGAAUCUGACUUUCCUCGUCUCCCCUAUAUUCAAGCCAUCAUUAAAGAAUCAUUUCGGAUUCAUCCACCAAUUCCAUUGCUUAACAGAAGAGCACUAGAAGACUGUAAAAUUGGCAACUACAUAAUUCCUAAAGGCACUCUGUUGUUUGUGAACCUUUGGUCCAUGGGUAGGGACCCCAAAAUUUGGAAGAACCCGUUGGAAUUUCAGCCAGAACGAUUCUUCUCACAGUCAAAUAGUGAGAUUGAUGUUAGGGGAUUGCAUUACCAAUUGCUGCCAUUUGGCACUGGGAGAAGAGGCUGCCCUGGCCUUUCUUUAGCCAUGCAAGAGUUGCCGACAGCUCUAGCAUCUAUGAUUCAGUGUUUCGAUUUCAAAGUAACGAGUCCCGAUGGUGUGGUUGAUAUGUCUGAACGCCCAGGAUUAUCAUCUCCAAGAGCACAGGAUCUUGUGUGCGUGCCAGUUGCACG